rnacentral:lncRNA from 1 species
CUUGAGUAGGCAUUGGUAUAUUUUAUCGGACUAACCCCUGCAGGAAAACUUUCGACAUCAACCUGGGAAGUCCUAAGAUACAAACUCACAUUGGAGACAAAGGAGACACAUGAAGUUUACCGAUUUGCACAAGGAAGACAUAACUCAUUCAUCAUAGAGAGAUGAUCCAUGGAACGAGACAAAGAGUGCCACAAACACGGUACACAACCGCUAAGAAAAGAAAGCUUCCACAAGGUGAUACUCUACCAUCACUCUUCAAGUAAGGUAACAUCUUAAGGUACUUGACUAUCGCUUUUGUAAACUUGGUUCUGGCGUUCACAUAAAAUAAAGAGACAAACAUGUAUGAUUUAUAACUCCAAAUUAACCAACCCAACAGAUUCAACAUGUUUAAUCCUUUAAUCUUUGUUUAUAGUACUACCUUCGUGAUCCCACACCCCUAAUCAUAUAAGCUAAAAUGUUGCACAUUCAAUCUCUGGAAAAUAUAAACAAAACAUAAAUAUACAUAGAUUAUCUUUCCAUUAGGUCGAGCAAUCUGAUCUGACAAAUGUUUUAAAUGCUACACUCAUGAUCUUAUUAUCCAUCAACUUUGUCUUGCUUACUAUGUUUAAGGUUAGAGAAGAACAAAUACACUAUUGGUUCUGUUGGUGUUUUUCACCAACAGGGCCCAUGCACUUGAUCUCUGCCUUGUCUCUAUGAGCAGGUACACUUCGAGCAAAACCUGAUGGAUUUUUACAACUCCCAGACUCCACCAUGUGAAGGGCUUGGAUCUACGAGCACAAACACACUGGAGAUACUAGACACUCAGGCAAUAACUGCCCUGAGAUGCUCAAGGACGUAAACUACAUCAACAACAACAACAACUACUACUACUACAACCGUCCUCAAUAAAAUCAAGGUUGGAAUCAACAGAGGCCUAACUACUCAGAGAGGUGAUCCAGGACACCCCGUCAUCCCGAUCUCCAUCAGCAUGGUGGACUUCCCUGAAGCACUCUGCGACUCUGGCUCUAGCGUCAACAUUAUGCCCACGGUUGCAGAUCGAACAUAAAGUUUCCCAAAGGGAAUAUUGAAGAACCUCUGCGUCCGAGUUGGUACCUUGUACGCCCCAGUGCUGCCAAGAUUAGUCUCUACAUCAAGGGGAGGAAAGACGUUUUCCUUCAAGAACAAGACUAUACAAAUCUCAUAGCAAUCCCGACAUGAACCAAGGAAGAGGACCAACAAGAGGAACAGAAACAAGCAAAUGUGGACCGAGUCAGCUAAGAUGGUCACUGCAGUUCAAAGAGGUCAAGAUCGUCGACUUAAGUCACUGUUUCUGACCAAAAAGGAUGACCCAGCUCCAGAUGGCAGAGCAGACAUUCCAAAAGGUUGAAGGUUAUUGACAUGGGAGAAGACGAGUAUGAUCCACCCAUCAUCCUUGAGAGACCGUUCCUCAGCACCGUUAAAGCAAUCAUCUACAUUGGAACCAGAGAAGUCCACAUGCACUUCCCCUCUGAGAAGGUACGCCGCUAUUUUACUGACCCUAACUAUAUAGUUGAAGACUCUAAGAAGGUCAGGAGAAGAAGAAGACAACACAACCGCAACCAGAGAAGGCAAAUCAUCAAGGACGGAUGGGCAGACUACGAAGGAGAAGUGGUAAGGUCUGAAGACAUACAGCUUGAACAGAACUGUCCUGAGGAGACAGUAGCACCGAGUCAGGUGUGGAGAGAGAAGAUAGUUAUACACGAAGAAGAGGCGCCGCCGGAACCACCGACUACGCCAUCCAGCAAAUCCCAGGACCACUGAGAAAACAGAGAGUCCCGUUCGGAGGACUUAAAAACACCGAAGGCCUUGCCAAGAGGUAAACUUGGUAGUUAUCCUUUUCCCUUCAAUUAUUUAAAAUAGUUUGCUUAGUUAAUCAGGUUCAUAUCAUCUCAAAAAGAAAAUAAAAAUGUUAAAAAUAGUAAGCCCCAUGUGAGUAUGCUCAUGGCAUAAAACCCAUAAGUACAUUCACUGUGGUGGCGUAAAAAUAAAAUAAAUAUAUUUCUGUCCUAUAAAAAUAAAAAUAUAAAAAUAAAUUUAUGAUCCUACUAAAGAGAGUAACAUUUAUUGAGGAGGCUCAACAUGAUAAAGGCAAAGAGAUUUUAUGCUAACGCUUAACCUGUUCCACAAAGCUUUGUUGUCUAUUUGAGCUCCACAGAAUUCAAGGAUCAAAGGAGACUAGUAGACAGAGGACAUCCUAAUCGCUGUCAGGGUACUGCCGACAUUCAAAUACACCUUCGACACCUGCGAGCUACAUUAGAAGAAAUUACGUCAAAAUACAGCUUGGGGGAGAGCACCCCCAUUUAUCCAGCUAAGUGUUUCUACUCGCGUUUAUACUUUACUCAAAUAAUAAAAAGAUGCAUAAUCAUGAAAAUCCAAUUAAAAAUUUUGUGAUUAUAUAUAUCUUUGCUUAGGUUGCUAAAUAAAUAAAUAAAGUGUCUAGGCUAAACUGAACAUAAAUGAUAAACUCUUACAUGGAUAUGAUAAAUAGUUGCUCUGCCAUGUGCCUAGUUUUCAAGUUUGACCUCUCUUAAGUUUAGGCAUAACUGUUAUAAUUUAAACCUACUCUAAACCUGAACUUGUGGGAAGAGUACUUGAUCUGAAGUCUAAGUUGUUAACGGAUACGAUAUGGGAAGGUUGAGCUGCUGUUUAUCUGUUCCUAGAUAUGCUAGAAUUCUAGAGAAUUUUAUCUUUAAAAAAAAUCUUUAAAAUAACACAUGAUGAGUUCCUGUAUGAUGAGAGUUUAAAUUCCUACCACAGCCAUAUAUACAUGCUUGCUAGACUUUGAGCCACACAUUUAAUUUUUAUUGCUUAUGAGCAUUGAGUGUGGUCAAGCGUGUAGACCCUUAGGAGCUUGUCAUGCGGUUAAAAUCAAGAUCCACUUGCACGUUCACUCACACAUGCUGCUUCUACUCUAGAAGUACGCAUCCACAUAUAUCCACUCAUUUCCAUCUCCAGAUUCCCCCAAAAUUAUUCUACUCCUAAUCUGGGAGAGAAUAGCCGAAAACAUUUCCUUAUUUCUGUUUUUCCCUGUGAAAUAAAUGCUCGAGUUAUCUUGGUUACUACCACUUCCUAUACUAUUUCAGGAGAUGAGUGCUCUAAAAAAAGAGAAAAAAUACGAGGAAAUAAAAAUGGGCAAGUGCCCGGAACCUCGAAAGAAAAGAAAAAGUGAGACAAGAGGUAAAAAUGGACAAGUGUCCGACAGUAGAAUUAGGGGUACAAGAUACCCACCUGAAAGAAAAAGAAAAUAUAGAGCAUCUCAUUCUCCUCAAAAAGCUUCAAAGUGCAAGAUAGGUAUGUAUCCCCUUAAAAGAGCAAAAGUAGAAUUAGGUUUUCACCAUGGUUAUCACCAUCAUCACCAUACACCAUUCACUCACCACACAUGCACAUCUUGAUUUGACUUAUUGACUUGCUCUUCUGGAUCCAUGGUUUGACUAUGCAAUAAAUGUCAUGUAAGUAUGUAUUAUCUGUCUCCCACCUAUGAGCUCCAGAUAUCAAAACCUUAUUAGAGUAGGGUGAGAGAGAAAGCAAUAUCACUAUGCCUCAUACCAAAAAUACCACAUACUUUGAGAGAAGGCAUAUACUAUUACUGCCUUGGAAAGGAUCCAGAAAUACCACAAAAGAGAGAUUUGAGAGAGUCAUACAAGGAAUCUCUGAGUUUUAUUUGAAAAUAUGCAAAAAACUCCAGAGCUAUAGCUGAUCGAGAAUACGAGACAUGGCGCUUGACUUGACCAUUUUAUCUUUUAACUGCUCAAGACACAAGUGACGGAUGCAAGCCCCAUGGUGAAAGGUAAAAUGAGUAAGUUUUAAGUCUUAACAGUUUACUCUAACUCAGAGAUGAGAUCUUGCUUGAACGCAUGUGUACUUUUAAAGCAUGAAACCACUGCAGAAACUCUUGAGUCCAUCCUUGCUCAGGGACGAGCAAGAGGUAAGCUUGGGGGAGUUUGUUGACGGUCCUUAAGAACCAAAUAUAAUCAUCAAAUAAAUAAAGAAAAGGAUCCAAAUGCAACCAACACCCAGACAUAGGGUUUUAUCUGACGGAAUUCGAUGAGUUUUGGUGUUUGUCUAUUUCUGUAGGGGGUUGUUGACGGUCCUUAAGUACCAAAUAUAAUCUUCAAAUAAAUAAAGAAAAGGAUCCAAAUGCAACCAACACCCAGACCUAGGGUUUUAUCUCACAGAAUUUCACGAGUUUUGGUGUUUGUCUAUUUCUAUAGGGGGUUAUCAGGAAAUAUGGAAGAAAGGCCCACACGUCGGGUUUACAUAGAGAUAUUAAUGUGCCGCACAAUUUUCUAUCAUCUAGAAGACUCCAGAAGCCACAGGAACGACCGGGAAGGCGAUCGGGACAGGGGGUAGGGCGCCCGCCCUGGUGUAGAGUCCAAUCAGGACCCGUCUCGUGGAUUACGCUCCACCGACCUAAAGGAUCAAGGAUAACCGUGCAAUCAAUGUCAGUUUGAUCCGACGACCCAGAUUCACUUGAGGGGACUAUGUAAGCAGACCCCCUGGCCCCUGGAGGAGAACAAGUUCAUCAUAGAGUUGAGAGGUGCCCUCGAAGGAUAACCUUUCCUCUAAAUAGACUUAGGGCCUAGCAUCCAAUGUGAGAGUAGACUAGAUCUACUAAAUUGAGAGAGAUAGAGUGGAGGUGUAGAUCGGAGGAAGCCCGGGCUGUCAGUGUCUACUCCGAGGUUGUACCUGCGGGAUCAAGUUCUCCUAACCCGAGGCUUGGUCCUAGGAUUCUUCAGUAAUUUGACUUCUAAAUUCUAGUAUUUUAUUGUUCUUUGGUUUAUGAGUUUACUUUAAUCUCUUCUGGUUGAGUUUAGAGUAAUCAUUGUGUUGACGGUCCUUAAGUAUCAAUUUUGUUUAUCAAAUAAACAAAGAAAAGGAUCCAAAUGAAAUCAACAUCCAGACUUAGGGUUUUAUCUAACAGAAUUCCAUGAGUUUUGGUGUUUGUCUAUUUUCGCAAGGGGUUAUCAGGAAAUACGGAAGAAAAGCCCACACGUUUGGAUUACAUAGAGAUAUUAACGUGCCGCGCAAUUAUCUUACAUCUAGAAGACUCCAGAAGCCACGGGAACGAAGCAAAGGCCGAACGGGGCCUGGCCCUAGGCGCCCGCCCAGGAGACCAGGGCGUCCGCCCCCUUGUAGAGUCCAAUCAGAUCUCUCUUUCAGGAUCAAGCUCCACCGACCUAAAAGAUUAAGGAUAACCGUUCAAUCAAUGUCGGUUUAAUCCAACAGCCCAUAUUCACUUGAAGGGACUAUAAUACCAGACCCCCUGGCCCCUAGAGGAGAGAGCCUCUCAACCCUAAUUCAUUAUUCCUCAAGGGAGAAGAAGCCUCUGAUCAAGCCUAGAGCCACCACAUCAAUUAGACAUCUAGAUUAGCAUAGCAACAUAGGAUUAGAACUAGAAGGAGUCAAUCUUCGAUUGGUUUCCGGAUCUGUCAAGAGGAUUCUUGGUAAUUCUCUAAUUGUUCUUCUAAUUGUUCAUCUUUGUUCUUCAAUAUUAUGAAUAUGACUUUGUUCUACUUCAAUAUAUUGCUUAUGAUUUUGCUCUACUUAUUUAUAUUCAAGAUUAUAUUGUUCUUAGUCUAUCAUAGUUAUAUACUUGACUUAGUUAGAUUGGAUCUAUAUACAUGUUUAGGAUCGUAUAGCGUUUAUCCAUCGGAUCCAUGGGAAAAUGAUAGAUAUUGUGUAGGAGUGGUGCUUAUACCGUAUUUAUCUGCGAUUGUACCCAAUAUGCCACAUCGUGGGGUAGUUUGUGAUAGUGACAGCUUCAUUGAUUCUUAUAUAGUCCCCCUCUCGUGUAUUGGGCUGGCAGAGCAACAUUAUUACAGGGGAGUGAUUAUGAUGUUUCUCAUAUUCCUUGCUAAUAUCACUAUGCAUGGGCGUAGUCCUUUCUCGCAAUGAUUGCUAAGUAUGCUUGCACUAACUAUGAUAAUGCUAGACUGUAUAGUUAAGAAUAACUUAGGAAAUAUUCUUGUAGUUCGUUCUAAUACCAUGCUAAUGACUUGCUAGAAUAUCUAAUUGAGGUGCUUAUCAUAUUUAUUAUGUGGCUAAGUUAUGCUUAUCAGAUUAAUUAUCUUUGUCACUAUUCAUUACUUUAUAUAUCCUUUAUGUGACACUUAUCCCUGUAUGGAAGAGUUAGAUAAAUGUUCUCAAUUAUACAUGCAAUGAUAGAUACUCAAUCUCAUAUUCCAUUCUAUAAUCCACAUUGAUGAUUACUAAUCCCUUCCCAGUGGUAAAAAUAUAAAUAACGAUACCUGGAAUACUUCCCGGUUAAAAUGCUACAUCGGUAUUAAUCUGUGCGCUUGCAGAUCCCAUUCAUUAUUUAUUUAGAUGAGCAAUUGCAUAUUUCAAUACCGCAUCUUUCAUGUCAUGCUGGGGAUGACAACUUGGCUUAAGUGGCAUGGGAGAUAGGUUUGGCAUUUUUGGCAUCGUUAUCAGAAUUAGAAAACUGUCUACUUUUGGUAGUGAUGUUAAGAAUACCCAACAAGUAUUUUUGGCGCCAUUGCCAGGAAAGGUUGAUUACUAAUCAAGAAUGAAUAUGGAAUUUCGAGUUAUCAUUCGCAUCACUAAUAUGAUUGAGCUUAUCAAUUCUCUCAUACAGUUUUACCCCAAUAUUUUUCUAUUUUAUCUUAUGCAGGGUAAUGUAUGAAUAGAAGACAUCUUCUAAGAAAUUUUGUUGACAAUCUCGAAGCCUUAUUCAGAAAAACAAGAGCUAAGCUCAAGAAGAGAUCAUCAACACUUCAGCAAGAAGCUUCAUCCAAUCAAGAAGAUCACCGGAACUUGCCUUCAGAGUUCGAAGCCAUGGUGAACAAAUCGAUCAGUGAGUUCUCAGCUCCCACUACAGACAACAUCCGCACUGGACCUGCUACAGAUAUAGACGGUAACUUUGAGCUCAAGCCUGGAUUGAUCAACAUGGUGCAAUCCAACCAGUUCUGUGGGAAGGCACACGGAGAUGCUAGUGCUCAUCUCCAACACUUUCUGGAGAUUUGCAGCACGUUCACCAUAUCAGGAGUCCCUAGAUAUGCUAUACUACUUCACCUCUUUCCAUUCUCACUGUUAGGAAGAGCGAAGCAAUGGUUCUACACUACAAAGGAAAAGAAUACUACGUGGGCACUCUGCUCCACAAACUUUUUGGCUAAGUUCUUUUCCAUGGGCAAGACCAAUGCUCUCCGUGGGAAGAUUACAAGUUUUCAACAACAACAUGAUGAAUCCGUUCCAGAAGCAUGGGAGCGUUUCCAAGACUACAUCCUAGAAUGUCCCCAUCAUGGAAUGGAGAGUUGGCUACUGAUGCAGACGUUUUAUCAUGGGCUCGGCAACAAUGCCCGAGAGACCAUGGAUGUAGCAGCUGGAAUCAACAGAGGCCUAACUACUCAGGUAAUUAUCAAGGUAACAAUUCUUACAACAAUAAUAAUAAUUUUUCCACCUCUGAGAGAGUUAGUGUCUAAUCAAGGAAAGCUAAUGGAUAAUCUAUCUAAGAAAUUAGCAUCUAAUGAUAAAAUGUUAGAAAAUAUAAAUAAUAGAAUGGAUAAUUUCUCUAGUGCCAUCAAGAAUCAAAUUAGCUUUAAUAAGAUGAUUGAAUCUCAGUUAAAUCAAAUAGUUGCUGCUGUUCCUGCUACUAACCCCGGUAUACCAUCACAACCGGAAGGAUUAGAAUCUGCAAAUCUUGUAGACAUGUUUGAUGCAGGUAACUACUGGAGUAACCCUGUCACUGAAGUUACUACUGACCUUCUGCCGGUCAAGAGAGACGAUCCAGGACGCCCCGUCAUCCCAAUCUCCAUCGGCAUGGUGCACUUCCCAGAAGAACUCUUCGACUUUGGCUCUAGUGUCAACAUUAUGCCCAGGGUACUCUAUGAAGAAUUCUUUACAUAUCCUUUAUUAGAGACAACCAUGUGUUUGCAGUUUGCAGAUCAGGUGAUAAGUUUUCCAAAAGGAAUAUUGAAGAACCUUUGUGUCUGAGUUGGUACCUUAUAUGCCCCAGCAGACUUCGUGGUGAUAGAGACCGGUAAUGAUGAGAGGGCACCCAUCAUCUUAGGAAGGCCAUUCUUGAACACCUCGGGAGCUGUCAUCUACGCCAGUGCUGCCAAGAUCAGUUUCUACAUCAAAGGGAACAAGGAGACGUUUUCCUUCAAGAACAAGACUACACAAAUUCCAGAUCAAUCUCGACAUAAAUCAAGGAAGAGGACCAACAGGAGGAACAGGAAUAAGCAAGUGUGGACCGAGUCAAUUAAGAUGGUCAAUGCAGUUCAAGAAGGUCAAGAUCAUCGACUUAAGUCACCGUUUCGGACCAAGAAGGACGAACCAGGAAUGCCAAGCAUCUAUUGCUCCAUAAAUGGAUACAAAUUCUAUAAUACAACUUGCGACACAGGAUCGGGCGUCAACAUAAUGGCCGCAGUCACCUAUCGGCUCUUGUUCGGAACCAUGUGUUGACGGUUCUUAAGUAUCAAUUUUAAUUAUCAAAUAAACAAGAGAAAGAAGCAAUAUGCAACCAACACCUAGAAUUAGGGUUUGAUCUGACAGAAUUCCACGAGUUUUGUUGUUUAUCUAUUUCUGUAGGGGGUUAUCAGGAAAUAAGGAAGAAAGGCCCACAUGUCGGGAUUACAUAGAGAUAUCAAUGCACCGCACAAUUUUCUACAAUCCAGAAGACUCCAGAAGCCACGGGAAGGAAGCAGAGGCCGAACAGAGCCUGGCCCUGGGCGCCCGCCCUCUGUUGGAUGCCAAUUAGGACUCUUUUCGCACACGACGCUCCACCGACCUAAAGAAUCAAGGAUAACCGUCCAAUCAAUGUCGGUUUGAUCCAAUGGCUCACGUUCACUUGAGAGGACUAUAAAACCAGACCCCCUGGCCCUGGAGGAGACAAGUUUAUCAUAGAAUUGAGGGGAGCCCUCGAAGGAAAACCUCUUCUCUAAAUAAAAUUUGUUUUUAGGCUUAGCAACCAAUGUGAGUAGAAAUAGAUCUUCUAGUUUCUACUAGAUUGAGAGAGAUAGAGUGGAGGUGUAGAUCGGAGGAAGCCCGGCCUGUCGGUGUCUACUCCGAGCUUGUACCUGCGGGAUCAAGUUCUCCUAACCCGAGGCUUGCUCCUAGGAUUCUUCAGUAUUUCGACUUCUAAAUUCUAGUAAGUUCUUGUUUUAUUGUUCUUUUGGUUUAUGAGUUUACUUUAAUCUCUUCGCGUAGAGUUUAGAGUAAUCAUCUCUAGCGUAGACAUGGUGUUUAAGCUAUGAUACUCAUAGAUAUUCCCUGACUAUCUAGACCGUGGUAGUAGCGAGGAACGUGACAUUUCAGAGUUACCUUUGCAGACCAUAUCUCGUUAGCAGGAAGGAUAGGGUUUAUAGGUGCGGGUUGAACAUCCUUUGUGGUGUCUAGAUUCGGUUAGCCUCCCCAAUAGUACAGUAGAUCAUCCUUACCAAGGUUAGAAGGAGAUUACGGUUGUAGUCUUCUCUAUUUAUCACUCACAUCGAGAAACAUUCUUUGUUGCCUAAAGGAUUAGUAGUAAUAGACCGGGUUAGUCAGAUGCACUCUUUCUCCUAGUGGUAAAAAAUUAAUACGAUACUCUGGAUAACCUCCCGGGUGAAGUGCACACCGAUAUCCCUGCGCUUGCGGAUCAAUUCCUUAUUGCGUUCCCAAAUAUCAACAAGCAUUUCUGGCGCCGUUGCCGGGUAGAAAGACGGUUUGCAGAGAUAACCUUGAGUCUUACUACUAGCUUGUAUCUAUACUUUUAUCUUUUCUUAUCUUUUAUAUUCUGUAUUUAUUGUACUCUUACCUUAUGGAGAACCAAGAUUCUAAAUGAAUCUACCAAUUUGCAACACCUUCGGAAACUGAGCUUUUACCAUGGGAGUCAUCACAGCCUAUCCAAACAUCCCAGUAUAGGUUAAGUUCUAGGUUGAUUGCCAUGAUUCAAAACCUAUCUUUUUCGGGAAAGGAAGACGAAAACCCUUACCUUCAUAUUAGAGAUUUUGAGCAAACAUGUGAUUGUCUUCGCAUUGAAGGCAUUUCUGAUAAAACUUUACGUUGGAAGCUUUUUCCUUUUUCCUUAAGGGGAGAAGCUAGACAAUGGUACAUGUAAUAGAACCGCCCAAAUUAUAAGAGAUUAAGCCUAAUAGUGACCAUUGGCAUAGUCAAACCAUUGAGCUUAAACCCAUAUAAUCCCGGUAGUCCGUGAAAUCUCGAAGGAUUUCAAACCACAGAUCAUACAUACAGCCAAGAUCGUAAUAAGUUUAGCGGUCACCAUCCACAGUUACAUCCAGUUCGAAAACAUUUAUACAAUACAUCGGAGUGCUUAAAGUUAUUGCAAGCCAAGUUCAUAAGUAGUGGAAGCUUCAUAGUUCGAAAAUAACACACACAUGCUUAGUCUGAUACAGUGCCAUAAUUCGGUCAUUCCCACAAAAGCAAAAGAGGAGGUAGAGUGACCAUCGCCCUUGGUCUAGUCAUCACCCAUAGCUGGGUACAGGCAGAGGAUGCAAUAACCAUAGUACAUUUGACCAUCUGCAAAACAACAUGGGAGUAGAACCCUGAGUACGAGAAUGUACUCAGCUAGACUUACCCGUCAUAAACUCAAAAUAAAGACUCGUCAAGGAUCAUGAAGGCUAUAUAGUGGGGUAUCUCAUGACUUUUGCCUAAAAGCACUCUUCUGUUAACCAAAUUCUAUAGAGGUCCUUUUUCUUUUAAUUAGCUCAAGUUGAAGUAUCAUUACCUAUUAUCUAGGUUUGCACCUGUACUAUUACAAGCAAGUAUAGUAAUAUGAUGGUACCUCAUCAUAGCAUUCAUGCAACCAUUUAUCAUUAUAACCCAAAUGUUCCAUAGUCCUUACUACGAGGACAGGGCUCAUGUCAAGUGCUCACUAUCCAGGAGCGAUGGCGAUUCGAAUCGAUUUCUAACCAGCUGGCGAGGUAUUCCCCACACAAACGACACUCACUGAUCAAGUGAGCUACAGAUCACCGUGUUACACUAUCCAGGACCAAAUCGCGGGUUCGGCAGACACCGCCAGUACCCGAGGACUGUUCCGGCGACCGAGGUAUCCAAGGUAUACCAAAGUUGCGCGCCGCGCCCUCGUCGUUCUCCUCAACCAUCACCAAUACAGCGCAUGGCGGCUCGACUCCUAGCCCGGAUAGUGUUCAGGCUUCGCGGUCGGAACGACUUAUCCUUCUAGCUAAGUGUGGCGCAUGCGCUCAACAUGACAAGAGGGCCGUCAACGAUCGGUCCUUAAUCGACACAGGCAGGGGCACUAUAGUCAACCCACCAUAAGACCCUGCCUGGUCUCAAAUUCUGUUCCACACUUGGUUAUUCUUUCCCAAAGCAAUCACUGCUUAAUCAAGCAGGUAUCCACCUAUAUCUCGCAGGUGACAGGAAAUCACCCGACUUCUACCGGACUAAGCAAACUAAGAAUAGACUCCGUGCCUAUCUACAUAGGACAAGGUAGAUAAACGAGUAGGGAUAACAAAGAGUACAUAUGCAUCAAUGGUAUCAAGCAAUUCCUAGCACGUACAUGCAACAUAGUAGAACAAGCAUAGUAUAUCAUGUAAGUUAGCCAGAAUAGGGAGACUUAGAAUGCUCCGGGGCUUGCCUUUCUCAAACGUGCUGGGUCUGUGAUCUGGACACUCUAGUUCUUCUUCGGGUUCCGGUGCUCCCAGAGGUUCCUGCUCCUGGGUCCCCUCUGGCUCCUCGGGUCCCACCUCGUUCUCCUGCGAGCCUGUAUGAUGCAUGUGUGCUCAUGAGUGGAGUGCGAGAUGCCCGGGGUGAAAUGCUCAUGCGAGAGAAUACCAGAUGACUAUGACAUGAUGUAUGGAUGAUUUAUGUGAUCAAUUACAAGGUAGUCAAACAUCAUUCAAGAACAUGCAAUUGAAUUAAACAUCUAUUGCAUUCUCUUCUACAAAUUAUCUUUAAGUGUAACCAGCAACUCACAAGAUGCUUCAAAGAUACACCAAACCCCUUUUAUUCUAUUUAACCCAUAUAUAACAAUUCAUAAUUUCUUUAUUCAUUUCUAGGCCCAUCAAAAUUAGCAUGCAUUUCUGUUUAUCAAUAAAUUCCACAAAAAUUAUAGGAGACUACCAGUCAAACAUAAAUUCCACCAUAAAUUUUCCAUAAUUUUUGGACACUUAUUUUGAGCUACAAAAAUCACAAGAUUAAUUAAUAAAGGCAAGUACAAUUAUUCUACUGUGGUAUAAGUAUCAAACAGCAGAUUUCAUAUUUUUAUAAUUUGCUUAAUAUUAUAAGAAACACCCACAAAAAUUUCCAGAUUAAUUGCAUGAUCCAAUUUUUUUUAUUAAAAAUCAUAAACCACUGCCAUGCAAGCAUUUAAAUCACUAUAAAUUCAUUUAUACACCAAAUAAUGUGUAGCAACAUUUUCCCAGUGAUUAAAUAUACAUGCAGAGCCAACAAAACAAGUUUCAUAUUUUUCUAAGUCAUAUGGUAAUUACUAUGCAUUUUCCAAAUCCGGCAAAAACAUGGAUUAAAUAUAUUGCAUAGAAAAGUUACUCAAACAUGACAUGCAACCACACCAUGUUAUAGUUAUGGAAACAGAGAACACACCAAAAUUUAUUUCACAAAUUUUGGAGCUAUAAUUCUCAAGAUAUGGAUUUUUGAACAUUUAAACCAUUUUCUGGUAAUCAUUUUUCUGAAAAACAAAUCAAAUCCACUCCGGGACCAGCUAGGUGCACCUGGUGCAGUGCACCCGCGGUCGCUGACGAGCGGACCCGCCUGCCAGCCGGGCCCGCUGGCCAGGACGCAGAGAGGAAAGAGCUCCGGCGAGCCGGAGCUCACCGUCGGCGACCUCUUUCGGCGAAUCAAGUUGCCCUACACUCUCUACGGCUCAAGGCGAACCUAGCGCACUCUUUUGCGCGGCCUAAAAUGGACCGGACCAGGCUCGCGACCGGCCAUGGCGGAACGGCGGCACGGCUCGCCGCGGUCCGGCCACCACACGGCGGUAGAGCGCGCGCUUACGGCCGGAAUAGGUGCGCGAGGCCAAGACGAAGCUAACGCAUCAAAAAGUGAGAGAAAUAGUGGGGUAGAGGGGGAGAACCACGGAGACCGUGAGGUCGCCGGAGUCUCGACUCACUCCGGUGAGCUCUCCCGAGCGCACGGGACUCACCGAGCAUGGUAGAACGCGAGCACGGGAUGAGGAAGGGCGAGGCGGAGCUGGUGGUGGUCGCGGAGAGGAGGAAGAAGGCGGGAGCUGGUCGGGAGAGGUGCUCCACGUCGUCGGCGACGAUGGCGUGCGGCGGAGCGGCGGCUGCGGCGCGCGAGCGAGCGGAGGGCGAGAGCGCGAGUGGAGGAGCGCAAAUGGCUGCGGGGGCAGAGGCGGACGCGGCCGGGCGCUCCUGGUGGCCGACCAGGGCGCGUCCAGGCUGCUGCAUGCUCGCCACGCGGCGGCCAGGCUCUGCCGGCGCGCCACGGCGGCACGGCACGGCCGUCCGCGCGCGCGGGCACGGCGCGGGCGCUGGCGCGGGGAAGGGGGUGAGCGCGGGCGGGCUGGGCCGGCUUCGGCCAGUGGGCCAUAAGUGAGGCCGCGGUAUGCUAGCGCCCCCCUUUUCCCUUUUCUAUUCUUUUUUUUGAAUUUCUUUUCUCAAACUCUUUCUAAAUUCAUUUGGACUAUUUUAAAAUCAUUUUCACCUCUUUCUCCCAAAAUGAAAGUUGUUCCAAAACAAAAACCCUGCAACUUUGUAUUACUAAGCAAGACCAAAUUCCAAAUAGAAUUUGAAUUACAAAUUAAAACUAGUUCUAGGUUUUCAAAUAAAUUCAUUUUGGGGAUUUUUGUAUAAAUUCCAUUUCUCAAAUUCUAUGGCUCCAAAAAUUGUACAAAAAUACUCUUAAAUCUUCUUGCACACAAUUCAACCUAGUUUGAAUAUUUCACAAUUUUAGAAACAAGCAUCAUAUUUUUAACAUAUUUAAAUCACAUAGAAUAAAGCACAUAAAAUCACAUUUUUGGAUGCAUGACAUGCUCAAGUGAUGCUAUGCUUGAUGAGAAUGCUUAUGCAUGCUUUGGUAAGACUAAGUGCAUGCUUAACACCUAGGGUGUUACAGCCCUUCCCCCCUUAGGGAAAUCUCGUCCCGAGAUUUGAGUUACUAACCAUUUCUUAUGAAACUUGGGAUAAACAGUUUUUAGGUAAUCCUCGGUUUCCCAGGUGGCAUCCCUAUCGUUUUGAUGACUCCACACCACCUUGUAUGUUUUGACAACUCUGUUUCGGGUUACUCGUUCCUUGGAAUCUACGAUACCCACUGGCUGCUCUUUAUACUCUAAGUCUGCUUUUAUUUUGAUCCCUCGAGGUUCAAUCCUCUGCUCAGGUACCUUCAAACAUUUCCGUAGCUGGGACACAUGGAAGACUGGAAAGAUCGAACUCAAUUCUUCAGGUAACUGAAUCUUGUAGGCCACGGGGCCUUUUCUUCCAAUUUUUGAUACGGUCCCACAUAUCUGGGUGCAAGCUUGCUUCGAACUCGGAAACGUUGGACUUUCUUCAUUGGCGUAACCUUAAGGUACACAUAGUCACCUAUAUUGAAUUCAAGUGGCCUUCUUCUCUUAUCAGCAUAACUCUUUUGUCGCGAUUGGGCUACCCGUAUAUGCUGUCGUAUGAUUUGCACCUUUUUCUCCGCUUCAUUCACGAAGUCGAUACCAUAGUAUCUUCUUUCACUAGGUUCAACCCAGUUUAACAAAGUUCUACAUCUUCGACCAUACAACGCUUCGAAUGGAGCCAUCUUGAUACUCUCUUGAUAGCUGUUAUUGUAUGAGAAUUCAGCCAGAGGUAACCAUGACUCCCAUGAUCCCUUGGACGAUAGUACACAUGCCCUCAGCAUAUCCUCUAACACUUGAUUUAGCCUCUCAGUUUGUCCUGAGGUCUGGGGAUGAUACGCGGUGCUUCUUAUUAGACUGGUCCCCAAACUCUUAUGCAUUCGCUCCCAAAAGUGAGCGGUGAACUGUGGUCCUCUAUCCGAUAUGAUGGUUUUGGGAAUGCCAUGUAACUUGACGAUCUCUGCGAUAUAAAUAUCAGCAUACUCAUGAGGUCGGUAACGAGUUUUCACAGGAAUGAAAUGAGCCGACUUAGUCAAUCGAUCUAUGAUUACCCAAAUCGAGUCAUUCCCCUUCCUCAUCGUUGGUAAACCUGUGAUAAAGUCCAUACUGACCUCUUCCCAUUUCCACUCUAGAACUGAUAACGGUUGUAACAGACCUGCAGGUUUCAUAUGUAUAGCCUUGACUCUGCAACACGUGUCACAACGGGCCACAUAUGCGGCUAUUUCUUUCUUCAUCUUGGUCCACCAAAAGUGGGGUCUUAGGUCUUGAUACAUUUUACUACUGCCUGGAUGAAUAGAAAGCUUGGAGAGAUGGGCCUCAUCCAUGAUGCGAUUCUUCAAUUUUCGAUUCUUCGGAACUACUAGACGGUGCUGAAACCACAAUACCCCUUUCUCAUCAACUCGAAACUGAGUUUUUGGGUCAGCUUUGAUCUUCUCUUUGAUGUGGAAAAUACCCUUGUCUGUUUUCUGACCUUCAAUGACUUGACUCUCAAGUGAACAACUGAGCUGUAUGUGACAUAAGACUUCAGGAUGCAUGAGAUUGAAACCAUCUUCAAACAACGGUUGAAUCACCUGAUAGUGCGGUUUGCGACUCAAUGCAUCUGCUACCACAUUAGCUUUGCCCGGAUGAUAGUGAACCUCCAGAUCAUAAUCCUUGAUUAACUCUAACCACCGUCGUUGCCUCAUAUUCAGCUCGGACUGAGUGAAGAUAUACUUCAAACACUUAUGAUCGGUAUAGAUAUGACACUUAUUUCCCAGCAAAUAGUGUCUCCAAAUCUUCAAAGCAUGCACUACUGCUGCUAACUCGAGGUCGUGAGUUGGGUAGUUGCCUUCGUGCUUUCUCAACUGUCGUGAAGCGUAAGCUAUCACUCUGCCAUCUUGCAUCAACACACAUCCCAAGCCACUUUUUGACGCGUCGCAAAACACAUCAAAAGGCUUCUCAAUAUUGGGUUGCGCCAGAACGGGAGCGGUGGUUAGCAACUUUCGCAAGGUGCGGAAGGCUAGCUCACACCCCUCCGUCCAGACAAACUUAUGAUCUUUUCAUAGCAAACUAGUCAUUGACUUAGCAAUCUUGGAGAAGUCGGGUAUGAAACGACGAUAAUACCCUGCCAGACCAAGAAAACUUCUAACUUCCGAAACAGAAGUUGGUGCCUUCCAGUCCAUGACUUCCUACACUUUCGACGGAUCCACGGCGAUCCCUUCUUCAGAUAAAAUGUGCCCUAGAAAAGGAACCUUCUUCAACUAGAACUUACACUUGCUGAACUUUGCAUACAACUGAUGCUCUCGUAAUCGUGUUAGCACGAUUCUCAGAUGCUCGGCGUGAUCUUGCUCAUUUUCUGAAUAAAUCAGGAUAUCAUCGAUAAACACUACAACAAACUUAUCUAACUCUGGCAUAAAGACUGAAUUCAUCAGAUACAUGAAGUAUGCAGGAGCAUUCGUGAACCCAAAGGACAUGACCAGAUACUCAUACAACCCAUAUCUGGUGGAAAAAGCAGUUUUCGGGAUAUCUUGCGGGCGAAUCUUGAUUUGGUGAUACCCGGACCUCAGAUCUAUCUUGGAAAACACUUUUGCCUUGGACAACUGAUCAAAUAAGAUAUCAAUCCUUGGCAAAGGAUACUUAUUCUUGAUUGACACUGCAUUGAGUGGACGAUAGUCCACGCACAUGCGCAACGAUUGAUCCUUCUUUUUCACAAACAACACCGGACAACCCCAUUCUGAUGAGCUUGGCCGGAUGAAUCCUUUAUCUAGUAACUCCUUUAGUUGAUUCUUCAACUCCGUGAGUUCAUUUGGCAGCAUCCGGUAUGGCCUUCUGGAUAUCAGUGCUGUACCUGGUAUCAACUCGAUUGCAAACUCUACUUCCCUAUGUGGAGGAAGUCCCGGCAAUUCCUUGGGAAAAACAUCAGGGAACUCACAGACUACUGGGAUCUGUGGUAAUGGAACCACGUGCGUAGCACAAGAGACGCUAGCAAAGUCAAGGCGAUGGGGCAGAGGUACUUGAAAAGAGCUACUGCCCUAGGGUUCUCUGAGAGAUAACAUCCUCUUCCUAGUAUCUAUGACCGCAUCCCAUUCCCUCAUCCAGUUUAUGCCCAUGAUAACGUCCAGAACUAAUCCAGGUAUGACUACUAAAUUCACUCGAAACACCCAGCCACUUAUAUCCAGGGUUACCCCUCGGACCACUCUAUUUGUUAACACAUCUGCCCCUGCUGAGCUGAUACGGUAGCCAUAACCCAGAUCUAUAACUGGUUGAUCAUGCUUUUGUGCAAAUGCUUGGCUCAUGAAUUAAUGCGAUGAUCCAGAAUCAAACAAAAUAACUGCAAGAUGUUGGUUGAUAGGAAACAUAUCAGCUAUUACCGGUUCUCCUUCUGGAAUCUCCUCGAUCGAGGUAUGGUGCACACGAGCUGGAUAGAUUGGCUGUUGCCUCUUGGGGUAGGGACAUUCCGUAGCAAAGUGCCCCAUCUUGUGGCAGUUGUAGCACGGACCCUUGGUCGCAUUGUUGGCGGCAGGUGCCACAGCUUGAAUUGCCUUUGGCUUGGCAGGAGCUAUCGCCACCUUGUACGGCUUCUGCUGCGUUGGAUGCCCAGUGUUCCUUCUCUGCAGUGGUCGAAACCUAGCACCCGGGGCAGGAGGACGAUACUGCUGUCGUCCUGCCACUGGUGCCCUGAACUGGGAUGACCCGGCCUCAAAAGCUCUCUUACGAGACUUGGAUGCACUAUAGUGGUUGUUAUUGUUUUCUUGGGUCAAACAGUCACUGAUAUAGGCAUUGAAGGUAGCCCUGGCUCCUGUACCCAUGGUCUUCAGCAUCUUUGGAUUCAAGCCUCACUGGAAACUAGCAAUCUUCUUGGCCUCCGUGUUUACAAACUCAGGGGCGUAGCGAGCGAGAUUGUUAAAAGCGUGUAGAUACUCCUUUACAGACUUCGUUCCCUGAGACAACCGCAUGAAUUCCCCAACCUUCAUUUCUACCACACCCGGACGAAUAUAAUUUCCCCGGAACGCGGUGGUGAAGCGGUUCUAGGUGAUUGGGGUCCCCUCUGGGUAGGUGGUACGAUGAUGGGACCACCAAAUCCCAGCAGGUCCCUGCAACUGAUGUGCUGCAUACUCAGCCUUGAGUUCUUCAGUCAUCCGAAGAAGACGGAACUUCUGCUCCAUGGUGUUGAUCCACUCAUCCGCCUCAAGCGGUUCCAACGCCUCCUUGACGACAGGUGGCUUGGUAUCCAUGAAGUCUUUGAAAGAGCUGUACUGGUUGACUUCACGACCGCCUUGGUUAUCCCCACGACGGGUGUUGUCAGCUAUGUUACAUAGGGCUUCUUCCAUAUUGCGCUGCAUCUGCUCCAUGUUGCGUUGGCUCCCCAGAAACUGUGCGAAAAACACGUCUGCAGUGUACGGAGGAGGCGGUGGUGGUGGCGGUGAUGGUGCUCUUUCUUCAUUCCGUUGAGCCCCACCUCCGGAGGCACCUGCUCCAAGACCGGGGUUACUGUUACCCCCGCCACGUGUUUGCACCAUCUGCAUAUGUCAAUGAUAAGCAAUCGUUAGGAGUUGCCAUCAACGGUAGACAUGUGUAGAAUUAUGCCGUACUGAAUUUACUGAGGAAAUAAAUUCGCACAAUAAACAGAGGCACAACAAUUCAUUAUCCACAUACAACAUCACUAACAAAUCACUUAACAUUCAAGUAACAACGUUCGCAUACAUCCAAACUUGCCAGCAUACAUACACUGGACUUUCAGCGUCAUCUCAUAAAGUUUUACAUAGCCCAGUUCCAAAAGUACAAGACAUGCCAUGCAACAACAACAACAAAAGAAGAAGGACUAGCUCUAGAUACCUAGCAUCUACUCGUUAUGGUCACUGUCCAUGCCGGAGCCCUCCUCGUCCUCAUCUCCAAUAGCAGCUGCCCCUAUCUCGGGAUCCUCAUCCAUCUCGUCCUCAGAGUCUAACUCAGCUGCUCCAGGCAGGUGGUGAGGGUGGAGCUGGUUAUGCAGCUGGUGGAUCUCUUCAUGCAAGUUCUCAUUGUACUCCUCAGCAUUAGCUAGCUGCUGCUCAAGCUCUAGCUGUCGGGCCCUCAAAGUGUCCUUCUCGUGCCAGGCUUCAUUCCUCUGACCAAGCACAUGAACUAGCAUGCGCUCGCAGUUCCUGUGAGCAGUAGUCACCCUGUCUCUCUGCUCUCGCACUGCAAGCAAGUCCUGGCUCAGCUCACUGUUCUUCUAGACCGCUUGGUCCCUCUCGUGGGUCACGCGGGCCAACUCUGCCUGCAGCCUCUCAACCUCAGUGUCGAACUCACGCUGCAGCUGGCGCUUCUCAUCCUGGACAGUGAGAAGAGACCCGGACAAGCGACCCAAACAACGCUCCAGGCCUCCAUAGGUCUUCAUCAAAGCGUACAUAGCACUCAUAGCUGUGCUGUCACUAUGCUGGUCCUCAUCCGCACUCCUCUCUAGAGCGUUCACCUUGGACUGAUCCCACACCGAAGUGUAGGGGUCACCCCGGGGAAACACCCCAGCGAAGGCGUGGGCCAGCUCCUGUGGAAACCUCUCCAUGAGGUCCCUCAGAACUGCGAAAGCUGCCCUACUGGCACCGUGGAAAGGUGUGGUACCUCGGGACUCGUACACCCAACCGCCCCAGGCGGGGUCACCUCCACUGGUAGGGACCACUGCCUCGAUCCCCACCAGGGUCCCGUCACCAAGCUGCUCCUUAUCCCAAUAGUAGCGAGGCUCCCUUCCUUCGGGAUACCCCAUCGAACUGAGCACCCUCCAAAGCAAAGUAGGCAUCCCAAACUCCUCCAGGAACUUGCUCUUAUGACGCGAGCUCCUAGCUGCCAACGGAUGGCGAGGGGCCCGCCCACCAGUGGACUUGCGAGCGGUGAGCCUAGUUGGUGCCAUCUGCUGCAAAUGGAAUACCUUGGGUAAGAUCGAGGAUUAUCUUUAAUCAUUUUAUUUAGAAUUGGGACAGAUUAAAUUAAGGGGGAAAGUAAGCAAUGAUAUGAGAUGAACAUGAUGCAUGCACGGACUUAUGAUCUCACAAACUUAGAGACAAAAGUUAACACUAAGCGGUAUAUGCGGUGGCACACAGCGUUCGCUCAUAACGUAACUAGCGCUCUAACGUGGUUAGUGUACCUGCAGAAAACUCAUUUCAGCCCAACCACAGUAUGCUCAUGCAGAACAAGAAUUUAAAGCUAUACAUCCCACAUACACAGACACCCGUCCAUGCAUAUGACGUGUUACUACCCACAUCAUCGCCCUAAUGACGGCAUCGCCUCUCAGGACGGAAUUCCCAACAUGCGGUACUAUUUCCAAGCACACCAAAACAUGUGCGCAUGACACGGUACCUAACAACACUCCCCUAGACCGGCAGUGUAUCCGAUCUUGCUCUCACAACUCCCACUUAUUGGGACGUAGAGGAAAAAUUGAUCCAUACAUUACCACUCAAAUGAAUGGUACUCAUACUAUUGCACGCCGUAUGAGCGACGAAAUAAAAAAUAUGAUGCAUUAACCCCCAAGUCAGUACUUAACUAGCCACCUUAGAGUCCUUAACUGGGCAUAAAGGAUAUGACCAUGGCACACUAGAUAGUUUUUUUUCCAAAAACUUAGUUGACACCUUGAUUAUCAUUAAUAAAAAUCUUUUAUUAAACCGGUUUAGAUUUAGUUCAGAACGUACUUAUGAACAGUAACUCGCUAAACCUGGCUCCGAUGCCAGCUGUAACAGAACCGCCCAAAUUAUAAGAGAUUAAGCCUAAUAGUGACCAUUGGCAUAGUCAAACCAUCGAGCUUAAGCCCAUAUAAUCCCGGUAGUCCGUGAAAUCUCGAAGGAUUUCAAACCACAGAUCGUACAUACAGCCAAGAUCGUAAUAAGUUUAGCGGUCACCAUCCACAGUUACAUCCAGUUCGAAAACAUUUAUACAAUACAUCGAAGUGCUUAAAGUUAUUACAAGCCAAGUUCAUAAGUAGCGGAAGCUUCAUAGUUCGAAAAUAACACACACAUGCUUAGUCUGAUACAGUGCCAUAAUUCGGUCAUUCCCACAAAAGAAAAAAAGGAGGUAGAGUGACCAUCGCCCUUGGUCUAGUCAUCACCCAUAGCUGGGUACAGGCAGAGGAUGCAAUAACCAUAGUACAUUUGACCAUCUGCAAAACAACAUGGGAGUAGAACCCUGAGUACGAGAAUGUACUCAGCUAGACUUACCCGUCAUAAACUCAAAAUAAAGACUCAUCAAGGAUCAUGAAGGCUAUAUAGUGGGGUAGCUGAUGACUUUUGCCUAAAAGCAUUCUUCUGUUAACCAAAUUCUAUAGAGCUCCCUUUUCUUUUAAUUAGCUGAAGUUGAAGUAUCAUUACCUAUUAUCUAGGUUUGCACCUGUACUAUUACAAGCAAGUAUAGUAAUAUGAUGGUACCUCAUCAUAGCAUUCAUGCAACCAUUUAUCAUUAUAACCCAAAUGUUCCAUAGUCCUUACUACGAGGACAGGGCUCAUGUCAAGUGCUCACUAUCCAGGAGCGAUGGCGAUUCGAAUCGAUUUCUAACCAGCUGGCGAGGUAUUCCCCACACAAACCACACUCACUGAUCAAGUGAGCUACAGAUCACCAUGUUACACUAUCCAGGACCAAAUCGCGGGUUCGGCUGGCACCGCCAGUACCCGAGGACCGUUCCGGCGACCCAGGUAUCCAAGGUAUACCAAGGUUGCACGCCGCGCCCUCGUCGUUCUCCUCAACCAUCACCAAUACAGCGCAUGGCGGCUCGACUCCCGGCCCGAAUAGUGUUCAGGCUUCGCGGUCGGAACGACUUAUCCUUCCAGCUAAGUGUGGGGCAUGCGUUCAACAUGACAAGAGGGCCGUCAACGAUCGGACCUUAAUCGACACAGGCAGGGGCACUAUAGUCAACCCACCAUAAGACCCUGCCUGGUCUCAAAUUCCGUUCCACACAUGGUUAUUCUUUCCCAAAGCAAUCACUGCUUAAUCAAGCAGGUAUCCACCUAUAUCUCGCAGGUGACAGGAAAUCACCCGACUUCUACCGGACUAAGCAAACUAAGCAUAGACUCCGUGCCUAUCUACAUAGGACAAGGUAGAUAAACGAGUAGGGAUAACAAGGAGUACAUAUGCAUCAACGGUAUCAAGCAAUUCCUAUCACGUACAUGCAACAUAGUAGAACAAGCAUAGUAUAUCAUGUAAGUUUGCGAGAAUAGAGAGACUUAGAAUGCUCCGGGGCCUGCCUUUCUGAAACGUGCUGGGUCUGUGAUCCGGACACUCCUGUAGUUCUUUUUUGGGUUCCGGUGCUCCUAGAGGUUCCUGCUCCUGGGUCUCCUCUGGCUCCUCGGGUCCCACCUCGUUCUCCUGCGAGCCUGUAUGAUGCAUGUGUGCUCAUGAGUGGAGUGCGAGAUGCCCGGGGUGAAAUGCUCAUGCGAGAGAAUACCAGAUGACUAUGACAUGAUGUAUGGAUGAUUUAUGUGAUCAAUUACAAGGUAGUCAAACAUCAUUCAAGAACAUGCAAUUGAAUUAAACAUCUAUUGCAUUUUCUUCUACAAAUUAUCUUUAAGUGUAACCAGCAACUCACAAGAUGCUUCAAAGAUACACCAAACCCCUUUUAUUCUAUUUAACCCAUAUAUAACAAUUCAUAAUUUCUUUAUUCAUUUCUAGGCCCAUCAAAAUUAGCAUGCAUUUCUGUUUAUCGAUAAAUUCCACAAAAAUUACAGGAGACUACCAGUCAAACAUAAAGUCCACCAUAAAUUUUCCAUAAUUUUUGGACACUUAUUUUGAGCUACAAAAAUCACAAGAUUAAUUAAUAAAGGCAAGACCAAUUACUCUACUGUGGUAUAAGUAUCAAACAGCAGAUUUCAUAUUUUUAUAAUUUGCUUAAUAUCAUAAGAAACACCCACAAAAAUUUCCAGAUUAAUUGCAUGAUCCAAUUUUUUUAUCAAAAAUCAUAAACCACUGCCAUGCAAGCAUUUAAAUCACUAUAAAUUCAUUUAUACACCAAAAAAUGUGUAGCAAUAUUUUCCCAGUGAUUAAACAUACAUGCAGAGCCAACAAAACAAGUUUCACAUUUUUCUGAGUCAUAUUUUAAUUACUAUGCAUUUUCCAAAUCCAGCAAAAACAAGGAUUAAAUAUAAUUGCAUAGAAAAGUUACUCAAACAUGACAUGCAACCAUACCAUGUUAUAGUUCUGGAAACAGAGAACACACCAAAAUUUAUUUCACAAAUUUUGGAGCUAUAAUUCUCAAGAUAUGGAUUUUUGAACAUUUAAACCAUUUUCUGGAAAUCAUUUUUCUGAAAAACAAAUCAAAUCCACCCCGGGACCAGCUAGGUGCACCCGGUGCAGUGCACCCACGGUCGCUGACGAGCGGACCCGCCUGCCAGCCGGGCUCGCUGGCCAGGACGCAGAGAGGAGAGAGCUCCGACGAGCCGGAGCUCGCCGUCGACGACCUCUUUCGGCGAAUCAAGUUGCCCUACACGCUCUACGUCUCAAGGCGAACAUAGCGCACUCUUUUGCGCGGCCUGAAAUGGACCGGACCGGGCUCGCCGCGGUCCGGCCACCACACGGCGGUAGAGCGCGCGCUUACGGCCGGAAUAGGUGCGCGAGGCCAAGACGAAGCUAACGCAUCAAAAAGCGCGAGAAAUGGUGGGGUAGAGGGGAAAACCACGGAGACCGUGAGGUCGCCGGAGUCUCGACUCACUCCGGUAAGCUCUCCCGAGCGCACGGGACUCACCGAGCGCGGUAGAACGCGAGCACGCGAUGCGGAAGGGCGAGACGGAGCUGGUGGUGGUCGCGAAGAGGAAGAAGAAGGCCGGAGCUGGUCGGGAGUGGAGCUCCACGUCGUCGGCGACUAUGGCGUGCGGCGGAGCGGCGGCUGCUGCGCGCGAGCGAGCGGAGGGCGAGAGCGCGAGUGGAGGAGCGCAAAUGGCAGCGAGGGCAGCGGUGGACGCGGCCGGGCGCUCCUGGUGGCCGACCAGGGCGCGUCCAGGCUGCCGCAUGCUUGCCACGCGGCGGCCAGGCUCUGCCGGCGCGCCACGGCGGCACGGCGCGGCCGUCCGCGUGCGCGGGCACGGCGCGGGCGCUGGCGCCGGGAAGGGGGUGAGCACGGGCAGGCUGGGCCGGCUUCGGCCAGUGGGCCAGAAGUGAGGCCGCGGCCUGCUAGCGCCCCCCUUUUCCCUUUUCUAUUCUUUUUUUUUGAAUUUCUUUUCUCAAACUCAUUCUAAAUUCAUUUGGACCAUUUUACAAUUAUUUUCACCUCUUUCUCCCAAAAUGAAAGUUGUUCCAAAACAAAAAUCCUACAACUUUGUUUUAAUAACCAAGACCAAAUUCCAAAUAGAAUUUGAAUUACAAAUUAAAACUAGUUCUAGGUUUUCAAAUAAAUUCAUUUUGGGGAUUUUUGUAUAAAUUCCAUUUCUCAAAUUCUAUGGCUCCAAAAAUUGCACAAAAAUACUCUUAAAUCUUCUUAAACACAAUUCAACCUAGUUUGAAUAUUUCACAAUUUUAGAAACAAGCAUCAUAUUUUUAACAUAUUUAAAUCACAUAGAAUAAAGCACAUAAAAUCACAUUUUUGGAUGGAUGACAUGCUCAAGUGAUGCUAUGCUUGAUGAGAAUGCUUAUGCAUGCUUUGGUAAGACUAAGUGCAUGCUUAACACCUAGGGUGUUACAGUACAGUCAGAAGGUAAGUCAACAACGAGGUGAAUGGAGAGUUUUACGAUCCAACUUUUGUCUAGAUUUUUAUUCCCUCGACCGUAUCGGCGACCUUAGACUCGAAGUCCUAUCUUUUAAACAAAAAGAUAAUGAAACUUUGGGAAAAUCCUAGAAACGUUUUUCUGAUCUUUUAGAAUCUGGUCCAAACCUUACUCUUGAACACCCUAUUCUUUUAUUUCACUUUUUUCGAGGUCUUCAGAAAAAUCACAAACAAAUGCUACAUACAAUGUCUAGAGGUUCUUUCUUUCGCAUCACUACUGAUGAAGCUAGAGUGAUCCUAGAUAGAAUCCUAGAAGCUGAGAUGGAUAAUACCCUUCAUGAUGAAACCUACGAAGCCGAAGUAGAAACUCUGCCAAAUUCUUCAUCUACUUUAGCUAUCCCAAGUUCUGAGCCACAAAAGGAAGAAAUUCCACCACCGGACUUCAUGCUAGAUAUAGAAUCCGAUCUUUUUGCCGAUUUUGGAAACAUUUCAAACUACCAUUCUAUUGAAAAACCCCAAAAUGGCCAGUUUAGCAUUUAUUUGCCAAGUGAAUAUCAAUUAAGAGAGCUUAUCUCAGUCAUGAGUAGCGAGUGGUUGGAGGAAUCAGAGCUUUCCUCUGAUGUGAUCCGUUUGGACACACCCUCUAUAACUAUAAGCUGUGCUUAUAAUUCUGAUCGAUUUAAUGCUCUUUAUAAUCCUGUUGUGGGGAUCAACAUCAUGUCUGAAUCUUUUGCACUUAAAAUAUUUAAAAAUCUUGUUUUAACCCCCACAACAAAGGUCAUAAAGGAAUCUUCUGGACGAUUACUCCCCAGUCUUGGAAUUAUUAAUGUCCUACCUCUUACGGUAGAAGGCUCCAUGGUUCAUUUAAACUUCUAUAUCUUUGAUACAUGGGACUUCGACCUAUUGAUAGGACAACCUUUUAGAAGACUCCUUUAUGAAGGUCAUACUGGAAAGCUACACAUUUCUUUUGGAAAAGCUUUCAAAUUUCCCAUAAUAAUUUCACACUAUUUGAAUAAUAAGGCCGAGUCAUAUCUUUUGCCUGAUCCUAUGGAGAAGGUAAAGGCUGCAUCUCUUGAACUUUUAGAAGAAUCAAACUUAGAAGACGAAACUCCUUUCUUCAUAGAAGAAGCCGAACUUUCUGAACCUGAACCCUUAGAUGAGUUUGCAGAAACACCUAGACCCCGCAUAGAGCUUAAAACUUUACCACCCGGUCUUAUCUAUGCUUUCCUAAACAAUAAUCCAGAGUUUCCUGUGAUCAUUAGCGAUAAACUCACUCAGGAGCAAACUCUACGAUUAAUGACCAUUCUUGAGAAACAUCACUCAGUUUUCGGCUACUCACUCCAAGAUCUUACAGGAAUCAGUCCUAUGAUUUGUACCCUCGUAUUCCAACAGAUCCUUCUGUUUCACCUUCUCGAGAACCCCAACAUAGACUUAACAACACUAUGAGAGAGGUAGUUCAAAAGGAAGUUAUAAAGUUGCUGCAUGCAAGGAUUAUAUAUCCUGUGCCGCACAGUGAGUGGGUAAGCCCAGUACAAGUUGUGCCUAAAAAGGGAGGCAUGACUGUUAUUAUGAAUGAAAAGAACGAGCUAAUUCCGCAAUGCACCGUCACAGGAUGGCGGAUGUGCAUAGACUAUAGAAAACUAAACAAAGCCACGAGAAAGGAUCACUUUCCUUUACCUUUCAUAGAUGAGAUGCUAGAGCGAUUAGCGAACCAUUCGUUCUUUUGUUUCUUAGAUGGAUAUUCAGGGUAUCAUCAGAUCCCGAUCCAUCCUGAUGAUCAAAGCAAAACCACUUUUACAUGCCCAUAUGGAACUUAUGCUUACUGUAGAAUGUCUUUUGGGUUAUGUAAUGCACCAGCUUCUUUUCAAAGAUGCAUGAUGUCUAUAUUUUCUGAUAUGAUUGAAGAGAUUAUGGAAGUUUUCAUGGAUGAUUUCUCUGUUUAUGGAAAAACUUUUGAUAGUUGUCUUGAAAACUUAGACAAGGUUUUGCAAAGAUGUGAAGAAAAGCACUUAGUCCUUAAUUGGGAAAAAUGUCAUUUCAUGGUUAGGGAAGGAAUAGUGCUGGGACACCUAGUGUCCGAAAGAGGUAUUGAGGUAGACAAAGCUAAAAUUGAAGUAAUUGAACAACAACCUCCACCUGUGAAUAUAAAAGGAAUUCAAAGCUUUCUUGGCCAUGCUGGUUUUUAUCGUAGAUUCAUAAAAGAUUUUUCAUUCAUUGCUAGACCACUUACUCUUUUGCUAGCCAAGGAUGCUCCUUUCGAAUUUGAUGAUGCAUGUCUAACAUCUUUUAAUUUAUUAAAGAAAGCACUCAUCUCUGCACCAAUCAUUCAACCCCCUGAUUGGUCGUUGCCUUUUGAAAUUAUGUGUGAUGCUAGUGAUUAUGCUGUGGGGGCAGUAUUGGGACAAACUAAAAAUAAGAAGUGUUGAUAUUUGGUAACGCAAUAAGGAAAUGAUCCGCAAGCGCACGGAUAUCGGUGAGCAUUUCACCCGGGAGGUUUUCCAGAGUAUCGUAUUUAUAUUUUUACCACUGGGAGAAAGGGUGCAUCUGACUAACCAAAUCUAUUGCUACUAUCCCUUUAGGCUACAAAGAAUGUCUCUGGAUGUGAGUGAUGUAUAGAGAAGAUUGCAACCGUAGUCUCAUUCUAACCUUGGUAAGGAUGAUCUACUGUUCUAUUGGGGAGGCUCACGGAAUCUAGACAACACAAAGGAUGUUCGACCCGCACCUUUAACCCUACCCGUCCUGCUAACGAGAUGUGAUCUACAAAGGUAACUCGGAAAUGUCACGUUCCUCGCUACUACCACGGUCCAGCUAGUCAGGGGAUAUCUAUGAGUACCCUAGCCUAAACACCACGUUUACGCUAACAAGUGAUUACUCUAAUACUCAACCGGAAGAGGAUUAAAGUAAACUCAUAAACCAAAGAACAAUAAAACAAGAACUUACUAGUAUUAGAAGUCGAAUUACUGAAGAAUCUUAGAAGCAAGCCUCGGGUUAGGAGACUUGAUCCCGUAGGUACAACUCAGAGUAGACACCGACAGGCCGGCCUUCCUCCGAUCCACACCUCCACUCUAUCUCUCUCAAUCUAGUAGAAACUAGAAGAUCUAUUUCUACCUUACAUUGGUUGCUACGCCUAAAAAGAAAUAUUAUUUAGAGAAGAGGUUUUCCUUCGAGGGCACCCCUCAAUCUCUAUGAUAAUUUCUUGUCUUCUCCAGGGCCAGGGGGGCCUUGCUUAUAUAGUCCUCCCCUUCUAUGCGUUUUUGGGUCGAUAGGUGAGGUGGUACUAUGUUUUCCUUGAUCCAAUAGGUCGGUGGAACAUCCCGAGCGAAAGAGUCCUGAUUUGGCUCCAACAGGGGGGCGGGCGCCCAGGCUACCAGGGCGGGCGCCCUGGGCCUGGCCCAGUUUCGCCUCCGCUUCGGUCUCGUGGCUUCUGGAGUCUUCUAGAUGAUGUAAAAUCGUACGGUGCGUUGAUAUCUCUAUGUAAUCCCGACAUGUGGGCCUUUCUUCCUUAUUUCCUGAUAACCCCCUGCGGAAACAGAUAAACAACAAAACUCGUGGAAUUCUGUCAGAUCAAACCCUAAUUCUAGGUGUUGGUUGCAUUUGGAUCCUUUUCUUUGUUUAUUUGAUAAUUAAAUUUGAUACUUAAGGACCGUCAACAAACUCCCCCAAGCUUACCUCUUGCUCGUCCCUGAGCAAGGAUAGACUUAGCUAUGGAUCAUAAAUUGUUGCAAUAUUUUUAAAAAUUGAUGUUACACAUGCUUUUUAAAUAAAAUCUCAUCUCUGAGUUAGAGUAAACUAUCAAGACUUAAAACUUACUUUACCUUCACCAUGGGACUUGUAACCGUCACUUCUGUCUUGAGAGGUUAAAAGAUAGAACAGUCUAGCCAAGUGCCAUGUCUCUUAUUCUUGAUUAGCUAUAGCUCUAGAGUUUUUGCAGAUUUUCAAAUAAAACUCAGAGAUUCCUUGUAUGAUUCUCUCAGAUCUCUCUUUUAUGGUAUUUUUGGAUCCUUACCAAGGCAGUGAUGGUAUAUGCCUUCUCUCAAGAUAUGUAGUAUUUGUGGUAUGAAGCAUAGUGACAUUGUCUUCUCUCUCACCCUACUCUAAUAAGGCUUUAAUAUCUGGAGCUCAUAGGUGGGAGAUAAAGUAUACAUACUUACAAGACAUUUAUUGCAUAGUCAAACUAUGGAUCCAAAGAAACAAAUCAAUAAGCCAAAUCAAGAUGUGCAUGUGUGGCGAAUGAAUGGUGUAUGGUGAUGAUGGUGAUAACAAUGGUGAAAACAAUGGUGGUAGAAGUCUAAUUCUACUUUUGCUCUUUGAGGGGAUACAUACCUUCCUUGCUUUUGAAACUUUAUGAGGAGAAUGAGAUGCUCUUCUUUUUCUUUUCUGCGAGGUUCCGGGCACUUGCCCCUUUUUAUUUCCUCGUAUAUUAUUUAUUUUUUUUUCUUUUUUUUUCUUUCUAGAGCACUCAUCUCCUGAAAUAAUAUAGCAAGUGGUAGUAACCAAAAUAACUGGAGCAUUUAUUUCACAGGGAAUAACAGGGAUAGGAAAAUGUUUUUUGGCUUAUUCUCUCCCGGAUUAGGAGUAGAAUAAUUUUGGGUAAAACUGGAGAUGGAAAUGAGUGGAUAUAUGUGGAUGGUACUUCCGGAGUAGAAGUAGCAUAUAUGAGUGAACGUGCAAGUGAAUCUUGAUUUAACCACAUGACAAACUCCUAAGGGUCUACACAGCUUGACUACACUCAAUGCUCAUAAGCAGUAAAUAGUAAAUGUGUGGCUCAAGGUCUAGCAAGCAUGUAUAUAUGGCUGUGGUAGGAAUUUAAACUCUCAUCAUACAGGAACUCAUCAUGCAAUAUUUUAAAGAUUUUCAAAGAUAAAAUUCUCUAGAAUUCUAGCAUCUCUAGGAACAGAUAAACAGCAGCUCAACCUUCCCAUAUCGUAUCCGUUAACAACUUAGACUUCAGAUCAAGUUUUCAUCCCACAAGUUUAGGUCUAGAGCAAGCCUUAAAUUAUAACAGUUAUAUCUAAACUUGAGAGAGAACUUCAAAUUUGCAAAUUAGGCAGAGCAACUAUUCAUCAUAUCCAUGCUUAAGUUUUAUUAUUAAGAUUCAGAUUAGCAUAGCCACUUUAUUAAACACACUAAGCGAAAGAUAUAUAAGCAUAAAAUCUUUAUUUGGUUUUUCAUAGUUAUGUGUAUUUAUAUUCUAAUAUAGUAUAAGUAUAAAGAUAGAUAGAAAUACUUAUCGAGAUAAAUGGGGGUGCUCUCCCCCAAGCUGAAUUUUGACGUAAUUUCUCUUGAUGUAGCUAGCAGGUGGCAGAGGUAUGUUUGAAAGUCAGCAGUAUUUUGACAGCGAUUAGAAUGUCCUCCGUCUGCUAGUCUUCUUGAUUCUUAAAUUCUGUGGAGCUCAAAUAGACAACAAAGCUUGUGGAACUGAUUAAGUGUUAGCAUAAAUAUCUAGCUUUUAUCAUGUUGAGACUCCUUAAUAAAUAUUACUCCCUGUUUUUAUAUUUUUGUUUUCAUAAAGUAGAAAAAUAUUUAUUUUAUUUUUAUGCCACCACAGUGAAUGUACUUAUGGGUUUUAUGCCACUCGUCUACUCACAUGGGGCUUACUGUUUUUCACAUUUUUAUUUUCUUUUUAGGAUAAUACGAACAUGAUUAACUAAGUAAACUAUUUGAAAUAAUUGAAAGGGAAAGGAUAACUACCAAGUUUACCUCUUGGUAAGGCGUUCGGUGUUUUUAAGUCCUCCGAAUGGGACUCCUUGUGUUUUCAGUUGUCCUGGGAUUCGCUAGGUGGCGUAGUCGGUGGUUCCGACGGCGCUUCUUCUUCGUGUAUAACUAUCUUCUCUCUCCACACCUGACUCGGUGCUACGGUCUCCUCAGGAUAGUUGUAUUCAAGCUGUAUGUCUUCAGACCUUAUCACUUCUCCUUCGUAGUCUACCCAUCCGUCCUUGAUGAUCUGCCUCCUCUGGUUGCGGUUGUGUUGCCUUCUUCUUGUCCUGACCUGCUUAGAAUCUUCAACUAUAUAGUUAGAAUCAUUAAAGUAGUGGCGUACCUUCUCAGAGAGGAAGUGCAUGUGGACUUCUCCGGUUCCAAUAUAGAUGAUGGCUUUGAUAGUGUUGAGGAACGGUCUUCCUAGGAUGGUGGGUGGAUCAUACUCGUCUUCUCCCAUGUCAAUGACCUGAAAAUUUUCUGGAGCUGAAUGUAUAUUGGUUGUAGGGGCAUGGUUCCAUGCAAGAGCUGAUAAGUGACUGCGGCCAUUAUGUUGACGUCAGAUCCGGUGUCGUAGAGUGUCUUCUAAAAAGAGUAUCCAUUGAUUGUGCAUUCGAUGCUUGGAACACCAGGGUCGUCCUUCUUGAUUAGGAAAGGCGACUUGAGUCGACGAUCUUGACCUCCUCUAACAAGGAUCCGACGUUCUAAAUCUUCUGGACAAGACUUCUCACUGUCUUCAUCCUUUAGGUGCAUCAUUUGAUUAGGUGUGGACCUUGACGUCUGCACCUCUUGAUACGGUGUCACCUAUGUUCUUUGUUUGCCUAGCAGUUCGAAGUGCGGUGUUGGCAAUAUCCUGCUCAGUGUGUUUGUGCUUGUAGAUCUAGGUUCUUCACUUGGUGGAAUCUGGGAGUUGUAAAACUCCUUCAUGUUUUGCUUGAAGUGUACCUGUUCAUAGAGACAAGGCAGAGAUCAAGUGUAUGGGCCCUGUUGGUGGAAAACACCAACAGAACCAAAAGUGUAUUUGUUCUUCUCUAACCUUAAGCAUAGUGAGCAAGACAAAGUUGAUGGAUCAUGAGUGUAGCAUUUAAAACAUUUGUUAGAUCAGAUGGCUCAACCUAAUGGAAAGAUAAUUUAUCUAUAUUUAUGUUUAGUUUAUAUCUUCCAAAGAUUGAAUGUGCAAUACUUUAGCUUAUAUGAUUAGGAGUGUGGGAUCACGAAGGUAGUACUAAGAACAAAGAUUAAAGGACUAAACAUGUUGAAUUAAUUGGGUUGAUUAAUUUGGAGCUACAAUUCAUACAUGUUUGUCUCUUUAUUUUAUGUGAACGCUAGAACCAAGGAGAAGCUUAUAAAAGUGAUAGUCAAGUACCUUAAAAUGUUACCUUACUUGAAGAGUGACGGUACAGUAUCACCUUGUGGAAGCUUUCCUUUUUUAGCGGUUGUGCAUCGUGUUUGUGGCACCCUCCAUGGAUCAUCUCUUUAUGAUGAAUGAGCUAUGUCCUUCUUGUGCAAAUUGUUAAACUUCAUGUGUCUCCUUUAUCUCCAAUUAGUUUGUAUCUCAGGACUUCCCAGGUUGAUAUUGAAAGUUUUCCUACAGGGGUUAGUCCAAUAAAAUAUCCCAUAUCUACUAUAGCAUACUAUCGGCUCAAAAAUCAACCUAGACACCAUGUCUAAUUUGAUUUAGGAGGGCAUUUUAACCUAAGCACCAUGCUUAAUUUAAAAAUCCUUUGGAAGUAAGAUCAUCAUUCCUAAACUAAGCACCAUGCUUGAUUUAAGAGAUAAAUGAAACUACUCCAAACCUAAACAUAUACUAAAGCAAAUAAAGGUAGCAUGAGAGCAUUUAUAGCGAUCUACUCAAGUGGAGGUGAAGUAGUGUAAUUAGUACUUAACAAAUUGAGCAUCUCUGAAAGGUAGGGACAACCAACGUAGCAACAUGGCAAAUGAUGUUUUUAUGUAAAGUACUCCCCCAAGCUUGAAUUUUACAAAAUUCAAGUUUGGAUGAAUUUAAUUCAAUGUUGUGUGAUGGUUGGUUGGACAUACCUUGUGCUUGUCAUUCAUCCGAUCUUCUUGCUCCAAUCCUGGAAAGGUUAGUGACAAGAAUACCCGAAGGAAUAUUUCUACAAUUAUCUUUAUAUGCUCAAUACACAAGGCAAUGUUGCAAAUAAUUAGAAGUGCUUGUUUUAGGACACUAAGCUCGUCCUUGGGAAACCAUCAAUUAACUCAACGAGAUCUGCAAUAUUUAUUAUAGACAUAUGAGCAAGGACUGGGUAAGGUAUUUAUGAAAUAACUUCCAUGCUCACUGUUGUUUCUCUCAUUCUCAAACUCCAAGGAUGAUUCUUCAUGAAUGCUAAAAAUUCCUCUAGGGUUGUCUCUCAAGUUUGUUUUAUCUAUCCAUUUAAUGGUGAUAGCACAUGGAUUUUUAAUGCCCUCUAGCCAUUGAUGUUGCUCUUCUCGAUCCUCCUUCUUAUGCAUGGGAUGUCAAGAGAGAUUUAUAGGAUCAUCGGGAGGUUCAAGAGAAAGAGAAUAGUAGAAAUUGUUAAGCUCAAGGAUGGGUUGGAUAGCCGAAUCAUGGGAUUGAAAUGUUUGGAAAUUGGCUAUUAAAACUAACUUUCCUCGUCUGGGAGAUGAUUCCUUCUCUAUCUCUAAGAUUUUUCUAUGAAGACUAGUACAAGAAGGAUGUCCACAAAUGAAGACAUACCUUCCUUUACUAAUAGAUAAAGAAAGAAGGACUCUACCAAAGGUUAUAUGAUUAAGACCAAUGUGAAAAUAUCGAGAAAAAACAUGGUCUUGUAGGGCUAGGUCUAAACCAGAAUUUAUAAAAAGAUUAACAGAUUCCCUAGGUGUAGCUAGAAGUGCAUUAUCUUUUUGAUUAAAAGAUAGGACCUCGACUAUAGAAAAGGGUUGGUUUUGACCUAUUGCAAUCAACUCCGGACACAGAUCAUAAUUAGGGGCAGGACGUGUUGACUCCCAUGGUCUAUGGCUGGUCUCCGAAGGUGCAAAGAAUUCAGUAAUAGGUAUGGAAUAUAAGUUAUCCAUAAAGAUAAAAAUAAAAAGAUAAAAGAAUAAAAGUAUAAAAGUAUAAUACAAGAUAAUAGCAAGACUCAAAGUUAUCUCAGCAAACCGUCUUUCUCCCCGGCAACGGCGCCAGAAAUGCUUGUUGAUAUUUGGUAACGCAAUAAGGAAAUGAUCCGCAAGCGCACGGAUAUCGGUGAGCAUUUCACCCGGGAGGUUUUCCAGAGUAUCGUAUUUAUAUUUUUACCACUGGGAGAAAGGGUGCAUCUGACUAACCAAAUCUAUUGCUACUAUCCCUUUAGGCUACAAAGAAUGUCUCUCGAUGUGAGUGAUGUAUAGAGAAGAUUGCAACCGUAGUCUCAUUCUAACCUUGGUAAGGAUGAUCUACUGUUCUAUUGGGGAGGCUCACGGAAUCUAGACAACACAAAGGAUGUUCGACCCGCACCUUUAACCCUACCCGUCCUGCUAACGAGAUGUGAUCUACAAAAGUAACUCGGAAAUGUCACGUUCCUCGCUACUACCACGGUCCAGCUAGUCAGGGGAUAUCUAUGAGUACCCUAGCCUAAACACCACGUUUACGCUAACAAGUGAUUACUCUAAUACUCAACCGGAAGAGGAUUAAAGUAAACUCAUAAACCAAAGAACAAUAAAACAAGAACUUACUAGUAUUAGAAGUCGAAUUACUGAAGAAUCUUAGAAGCAAGCCUCGGGUUAGGAGACUUGAUCCCGUAGGUACAACUCGGAGUAGACACCGACAGGCCGGCCUUCCUCCGAUCCACACCUCCACUCUAUCUCUCUCAAUCUAGUAGAAACUAGAAGAUCUAUUUCUACCUUACAUUGGUUGCUACGCCUAAAAAGAAAUAUUAUUUAGAGAAGAGGUUUUCCUUCGAGGGCACCCCUCAAUCUCUAUGAUAAUUUCUUGUCUUCUCCAGGGCCAGGGGGGCCUUGCUUAUAUAGUCCUCCCCUUCUAUGCGUUUUUGGGUCGAUAGGUGAGGUGGUACUAUGUUUUCCUUGAUCCAAUAGGUCGGUGGAACAUCCCGAGCGAAAGAGUCCUGAUUUGGCUCCAACAGGGGGGCGGGCGCCCAGGCUACCAGGGCGGGCGCCCUGGGCCUGGCCCAGUUUCGCCUCCGCUUCGGUCUCGUGGCUUCUGGAGUCUUCUAGAUGAUGUAAAAUCGUGCGGUGCGUUGAUAUCUCUAUGUAAUCCCGACAUGUGGGCCUUUCUUCCUUAUUUCCUGAUAACCCCCUGCGGAAACAGAUAAACAACAAAACUCGUGGAAUUCUGUCAGAUCAAACCCUAAUUCUAGGUGUUGGUUGCAUUUGGAUCCUUUUCUUUGUUUAUUUGAUAAUUAAAUUUGAUACUUAAGGACCGUCAACAAGAAGCAUCAUGCAAUUGCUUAUGCCAGUAAAACUUUGACAGGAGCUCAACUUAACUAUGCAACCACUGAAAAAGAGCUUCUGGCUGUUGUCUUUGCCAUUGACAAAUUUAGAUCUUAUUUAUUUGGAGCUAAAAUAAUUGUUUACACUGAUCAUGCUGCACUAAAAUAUUUGCUCAGUAAAAAAGAUGCUAAACCUCACCUGAUUAGAUGGAUCUUAUUACUUCAAGAAUUUGACUUAGAAAUAAAAGAUAAAAACGGAGUAGAAAAUUUUGUUGCUGAUCACUAGUCUAGAAUGUAUUUUAAGAAUCCACAGGAAACCUCCAUCAAUGAUUCACUCCGGGACGACAUGCUCUACAGGAUUAACAGGUCUGACCACUGGUAUGAAGAUAUUGUUAAUUUUAUGGUUUCAAGGUAUGUACCACCAGGAGCAAAAAAGAAGAAGCUUAUUCAAGAAAGUCGUUCACAUAUAUGGGAUGAGCCAUACAUCUUCCGAGUAUGCUCUGAUGUCUUACUCAGGAGAUGUGUGACCACUGAGGAAGGAUGGAAGAUCAUCGACAGAUGUCAUUCAUCACCAUAUUGAGGUCACUAUGGAGCAUUCCGUACACAUUCAAAGAUCUGGCAGUGUGGAUUCUACUGACCUACAAUGUAUGAAGACACGAAGCAAUAUAUCAGAAGAUGUGGGCCAUGUCAAAGGCACGGAAACAUAAAUACAAGGGAUGCAAUGCCACUCACCAACAACCUUCAGACUGAGGUCUUUGAUGUCUGGGGAAUAGACUAUAUGGGUCCAUUUCCUCCAUCAAAGAAGUGUGAAUACAUCUUGGUGGCAGUUGACUACGUCUCCAAGUGGGUAGAGGCAUUACCUUGCAAGCAUGCCGACAACAUCAGUUCAAAGAGGAUGUUUGAAGAAAUUAUAUUUCCAAGAUUUGGAGUCCCCCAGAGUAGUGAUAAGUGAUGGAGGUGCACACUUCAUCGACAAACGCUUCAAGCAAUAUCUAUCAAAACAUGGAAUCCGUCACAACGUCGCUACACCCUAUCAUCCUCAGACAAGUGGCCAAGCAGAGACUUCCAAUAAGCAAAUCAAGAAUAUUCUUCAGAAGACAGUCAAUGAAAUGGGAACGACAUGGAGAGACAAGUUACCCGAUGCACUCUGGGCAUACCGGACAGCAUAUAAGACUCCAAUUGGAAUGUCUCCAUAACAAUUGGUGUACGGGAAGACUUUCCACCUACCUGUUGAACUAGAUUUCAAAGCACACUGGGCCAUAAGAGAUGGAAUAUGGACCUAGAUGUUGCUGGAGAUCAUAGAAGAAUGCAACUAUCAGAAUUGGAAGAAUGGCGAGAGAAAGCAUAUCACAAUUCGAAGAUCUAUAAAGAAAGAGUAAAAAGGUGGCAUGACAAGAGGAUCAAGAAGAAGGAGUUCACACCCGGAGAUAAGGUAUUACUUUUUAAUUCCAGGGUGAAGCUUUUCGGGCAUGGAAAACUCCGAAGUAAAUGGGAAGGACCAUUCAAGGUAAUUAAUUCAUCAUCCCACGGAGCUAUCACACUUCAAAAUGAUGAAGGUACGUUAUUCAAGGUAAAUGGUCAACAUUUUAAAUUGUUUUUAGAGCCCAAUAAAGAAUUAGAAGAAAUAGACAUAAUCCAUUUUUUUCUUCCCAUGGAGAAUUAGAGCCCGACCUUUUUAGUCUUACGUUUUUGGGUCAUAUAUAUAUUUUCCUAAUUAAGUCUACAUCUAGAAACACGCUCGAGGAAGCGGGCCCACAGAGGAGACAAAGAGAGGGCGGGCGCCCUGAUCAAGUGGGCGGGCGCCCAGCCCCUGUUCCCCUUCGGUCCCGAUUUUCUCUGUUAUGGAAAAUGCACUUAUGGUAAUCCGAAUAAUCCCUCAGAUGGAAAUUUUCGCACGCACAUCGACGGGAGCAACCAGAACAUCCCCUAGAGGCACUUUUUGACCCCUAUAUAAAGAGACCCCUGACAUCAGUUUUCAAACACCAAUCCACCAAGCCUUCUCUUCUUCUUCAAUUAGAGCUUGUUUAGUUCCUCGCUGCUCCAAUGGCCGAGAAGUUCCAUGAUGAUUGGGAAGUCGUCCCCUUCAACCUCAACAUGGAGCCUGCGGAAGACCCCGAUGCCCGUGCUCUCGUCCCGGCCAACACAGAGCGACAGCUAGAAGCCAUGCCAUUACGCCAACGCAGCUCCGCCCAAUCCUAUCAUGCUCAACCAGUUCUCACCGCACCGCCACAACCCCUACUCCUCAAGGGAUCAUCAUCCAAGACGAAGACCACCAUCAAGGUGCCAACCGGCACGAGGAUCCUUCCACCUAGACCCAAUGAGAGGGUCGCUGGAGUUAAGACCAACCGGAGCAGCGAGAUCAGCAGCAUUCGCUACACUACGGAGGAGGAGAGGCCUUACUUCGAAGGGAUUAGAGCAGCCAAAGUCCGUUUCAUCCCUCCAAAGGCAGCCCCAAAGCAUGCUCUCAAUGCUUUUGAGACACCUCCCAAGCGUCGCAAGACUAUAGUGGAUAUUGAUGAGGACAUUCGCAGGCUAGACAGAGUUAUCAUAGACCUCUAGUCCUCAGUUAAUUCCCUCACUAGGCAGCUCUCUAACCACAACACCGUAAUACUAGGCCUUAGGUAGGAUCUUGCCAGUGCCAAUAAGAAGAUCAAGGAAUUAGAGCGCCGCUAAGUUAUCUAGAUUAGACCUUGAGGCAAUGCAUCUUAGUCAUUUAUCUUUAAAUCCAGUUUAGGUUUACUAUUAUUAUCAGUUUGCUACUAUUAUCGUCAGUUUGCUACUAGUUAUUUGUAAUAAAUGCCUCAAGGUUAAUAAAGAGUAUUAUUAUUAUUAUGUCUUGUGUGUCUCUACUUUAUUCUUGUGCAAGAAAGCAGAAAACAAGUAUGGGGGAGAUCCCUCGACAUGCCAAACACACUUCGACUACACCACUCCACGAUUCAGGUACACACUCUGCACACUUUACACAUACACAUAUACAUCUUGGAUUAAGCAGAAUACUGUUUCCGACACGAUAAAUUAACAAGCUUAAAAUGUUUCUAAAUAUGAUUAAUCUCACUCUGUGAUAUUUUCUGAAUCUUGCAAUUAUUGAAAAAUCAUUUUAAAACCCUCUGUUACUUAAGUCAUUGUGGACUAUGAGAUGGUAGAGUAUGAGUUUCUUAUUCUUGAUAUCAUUGUUGCUUGGAGAAUUUAUUUCAAAAUUUAUUCAAAAUUCUAGCUACCAUCCUUUGUGUUUUAUAUGCCUACUAAAACUGAAAAUAUUAAUUAUGAUUAUAAAAGCUAUCUACUCUAUAUUGAGUUUGUUCAAAAUGACUUAGACCCUUGUUGAGAGAUUUAUCAUGCUCCUAAGAUCAAGACAUUAUUCAGAAAGAUUCACUCUUCCGAAGUAUUAUUGCAUUAGAGGCAUGGGCUAUGCAAAAAUAAAGAUAUUUCAAGGAAAUAAAAAGGAGCAAGUGCUCGAUAACCUCGUAGAAAAAAUGGACAAGUGUCCGGUAGUAGAAUUAGGGGUACCUCAGUAUCCACUUAAAAAAAGAUAAAAUAAGAAAAUGAUAGCCUGUGGUCCCUCUAAUAAUCAAUAUGCCAACAAGAGUUGACAAAGAUUUUAAUUUCCAAAGUCAUUGAUCUAAGAGUAUGACAUUCCCCUCCUCGGAUCCCGUUUUGAUCACACAAUAAAUGCAAAGUAAAGUAUGCUUGAGAAUUUUUGCAAACUAAAAUAGCCUCAGUGAGAUAUAUAAAAGAUAAAUGAGUGAUCUGAGAGAACCUAUGAGCAUAAAGGUAUGCUAACUUUCUUUUCAAAAAUAUACAAAAACUCCAAGUGACAGGAUUAAGAAGAAAGGAUCUUUACUCUUAACCAUAUACUUCCCUGACUACAGUACAUAGUGGAUUUUAACACCCUGCAGUUAUGAAGAGAAUGUUUUAAAAUGUUUUACCCCAGAUAUUGUUCUUAACCAUCCUUUUCUCAAGGAUGAGUAAAAGCCUAAGUAUGGGGGUAUUUGUUGACAGUUCUUAAGUAUCAAUUUUAAUUAUCAAAUAAACAAGAGAAAGCACCAAUAUGCAACCAACACCUAGAAUUAGGGUUUGAUCUGACAGAAUUGCACGAGUUUUGUUGUUUAUCUGUUUCUGUAGGGGGUUAUCAGGAAAUAAGGAAGAAAGGCCCACAUGUCGGGAUUACAUAGAGAUAUCAACGCACCGCGCAAUUUUCUACCAUCUAGAAGACUCCAGAGGCCACGGGAAGGAAGCAGAGGCCGAACAGAGCCAGGCCCUGGGCGCCCGCCCAGUUGACCUGGGCGCCCGCCCUCUGUUGGAUGCCAAUCAGGACUCUUUUCGCACACGACGCUCCAUCGACCUAAAGGAUCAAGGAUAACGGUCUAAUCAAUGUCGGUUUGAUCCAAUGGCUCACGUUCACUUGAGGGGACUAUAAAACCAGACCCCCUGGCCCUGGAGGAGACAAGUUUAUCAUAGAGUUGAGGGGAGCCCUCGAAGGAAAACCUCUUCUCUAAAUAAAAUUUCUUUUUAGGCUUAGCAACCAAUGCGAGUAGAAAUAGAUCUUCUAGUUUCUACUAGAUUGAGAGAGAUAGAGUGGAGGUGUAGAUCAGAGGAAGCCUGGCCUGUCGGUGUCUACUCUGAGCUUGUACCUACGGGAUCAAGUUCUCCUAACCUGAGGCUUGCUCCUAGGAUUCUUCAGUAUUUCGACUUCUAAAUUCUAGUAAGUUCUUGUUUUAUUGUUCUUUUAGUUUAUGAGUUUACUUUAAUCUCUUCGCGUAGAGUUUAGAGUAAUCAUCUCUAGCGUAGACGUGGUGUUUAAGCUAGGAUACUCAUAGAUAUUCCCUGACUAGCUAGACCGUGGUAGUAGCGAGGAACGUGACAUUUCCGAGUUACCUUUGCAGACCAUAUCUCGUUAGCAGGAAGGAUAGGGUUUAUAGGUGCGGGUUGAACAUCCUCUGUGGUGUCUAGAUUCUGUUAGCCUCCCCAAUAGAAUAGUAGAUCAUCCUUACCAAGGUUAGAAGGAGAUUACGGUUGUAGUCUUCUCUAUUUAUCACUCACAUCGAGAAACAUUCUUUGUUGCCAAAAGGGUUAGUAGUAAUAGACUGGGUUAGUCAGAUGCACUCUUUCUCCUAGUGGUAAAAAAAUAAAUAUGAUACUCUGGAUAACCUCCCAGGUGAAGUGCUCACCGAUAUCCGUGCGCUUGCGGAUCAAUUCCUUAUUGCGUUCCCAAAUAUCAACACCAUUCCCCUAAAACCAAUAUACAUUCAGCUCUAGAUGGCAGAUCAGACAUUUCGAGAGGUUAAAGGAAUAGUAACUGAUGUUCCUAUCAAAAUAGAUGAUCAUUUUGUCUACACAGACUUUUAGGUUAUUGACAUGGGAGAAGACGAAUACGAUCCACCCAUCAUCCUUGGACGACCGUUCCUCAGCACCGUUAAAGCAAUCAUCUACAUUGGAACGAGAGAAGUCCAUAUGCACUUCCCCUCAGAGAAGGUACGCCGCUAUUUUACUAAACCUAACUAUAUCAUUGAAGACUCUAAGCAGGUCAGAAAACAACGCAACCGCAACCGGAGGAGGGAGAUCAUCAAGGACGGAUGGGCAGACUAUGAAGGAGAAGUGAUAAGGUCAGAAGACAUACAGUUUAAAUAGAACUAUCCUGAGGAGACCGUAGCACCGAGUCAGGUGUGGAGAGAGAAGAUAACUAUACAUGAAGAGGAGGCGACGCUGGAAGUACCGACUGCGCCACCCAACGAAUCCCAGGACAACUAGAAAAUGGAGAGUCACGUUCGGAGGACUUAAAAACACCGAACGUCUUGCCAAGAGAUAAACUUGGUAGUUAUCCUUUCCCUUUUAAUUAUUUUAAACAGUUUGCUUAGUUAAUCAUGUUCAUACUAUCUAAAAAAAUAAAAAUGUUAAAAACACUAAGCCCCAUGUGAGUAUACGAGUGGCAUAAAACCCAUAAGUAAAUUCACUGUGGUGGCAUAAAAAUAAAAUAAAUAUUUUUCUGCUUUAUAAAAUGAAAAUAUAAAAAUAGAGAGUAAUAUUUAUUAAGGAUUCUCAACAUGACAAAGGCUAGAUAUCUAUGCUAACAACUAAUCAGUUCCACAAAGCUUUGUUGUCUAUUUGAGCUCCACAGAAUUUAAGAAUCAAGAAGACUCGCAGACGGAGGACAUUCUAAUCGCUGUCAGGAUACUGCCAACUUUCAAAUACACCUCUACCACCUGCUAGCUACAUCAAAAGAAAUUACGUCAAAAUUCAGCUUGGGGGAGAGCACCGCCAUUUAUCUCGCUAAGUAUUUCUAUCUAUCUUUAUACAUAUACUAUAUUAAAAUAUAAAUAUACAUAACUAUGGAAAACCAAAUAAAGAUUUUUGUGCUUAUAUAUAUAUCUUUUGCUUAGUUUAAUAAAUAAAUAAAGUGGCUAUGCUAAACUGAAUCUUAAUAAUAAAACUCUAGCAUGGAUAUGAUGAAUACUGCCUAAUUUUUAAAAUUUGAAGUUCUCUCUCAAGUUUAGACAUAACUAUUAUAAUUUAAAGCUUGCUCUAAACCUAAACUUGUGGGGAGAAAACUUGAUCUGAAGUCUAAAUUGUUAUCGGAUAUGAUAUGGGAAGGUUGAGCUGCUGUUUAUCUGUUCCUAGAGAUGCUAGAAUUCUGGAGAAUUUUAUCUUUGAAAAUCUUUAAAAUAUUGCAUGAUGAGUUCCUAUACGAUGAGAGUUUAAAUUCCUACCACAGCCAUAUAUACAUGCUUGCUAGACUUUGAGCCAUAUAUUUACUUUACUACUUAUGAGCAUUGAGUGUGGUCAAGCUGUGUAGACCCUUAGGAGCUUGUCAUGUGGUUAAAUCAAGAUUCACUUGCACGUUCACUCACACAUGUUGCUUCUACUCCGAAAGUACCAUCCACAUACAUCCACUAAUUUCUAUAUCCAGAUUCACUCAAAAUUAUUCUACUCCUAAUCCGAGAGAGAAUAGCCAAAAAUAUUUCUACUGUGAAAUAAAUGCUUAACUUAUCUUUGUUACUACCACUUGCUAUAUUAUCUCAAGAGAUGAGUGCUCUAAAAAAAAGAGAGAGAGAUACGAGGAAAUAAAAAGGGGCCAGUGCCCGGAACCUCGAAAGAAAAAGUGAGACGAGAGGUAAAAAUGGACAAGUGUCCGACAGUAGAAUUAGGGGUACAAGAUACUCACCUGGGAGGAAAGAAAAGGAAAAUACAGAGCAUCUCAUUCUCCUCAAGUUUCAAAGAGCAAGAAAGGUAUUUAUCCCCUCAAAAGAGCAAAAGUAGAAUUAGACUUUCACUAUUGUUAUCACCAUCAUCACCAUAUACCAUUCGCCACACAUGCACAUCUUGAUUUGACUUAUUGAUUUGUUUCUUUGGAUCCAUGGUUUGACUACACAAUAAAUGUCUUGUAAGUAUGUAUAUUUUAUCUCCCACCUAUGAGCUCCAGAUAUUAAAGCCUUAUUAGAGUAGGGUGAGAGAGAAGGCAAUGUCACUAUGCCUUAUAUACCACAAAUGCCACAUAUUUUGAGAGAAGGCAUAUACCAUCACUGCCUUGGUAAGGAUCCAGAAAUACCACAAAAGAGAGAUAUGAGAGAGUCAUACAAGGAAUCUCUGAGUUUUAUUUGAAAAUCUGCAAAAACUUUAGAGCUAUAGCUGAUCAAGAAUAAGAGACAUGGCACAUGAUUAGACCGUUCUAUCUUUUAACUACUCAAGACAGAAGUGACGGUUACAAGUCCCAUGGUGAAAGGUAAAAUGAAUAAGUUUUAAGUCUUGACAGGUUAUUCUAACUCAGAGAUGAGACCUCAUAUUAAAAGCAUGUGUACCGUCAAUUUUUAAAGGCAUUACAACAACUUUUGAUCCAUCGCUGAGAUUAUCCUUGCUCAGGGACGAGCAAGAGGUAAGCUUUGGGGAGUUUGUUGAUCGUCCUUAAGUAUCAAAUUUAAUUAUCAAAUAAACAAAGAAAAGGAUCCAAAUGAAAUCAACAUCCAGACUUAGGGUUUUAUUUGACAGAAUUCCACGAGUUUUGGUGUUUGUCUAUUUCUGCAGGGGGUUAUCAGGAAAUACGGAAGAAAGGCCCACACGUCGGGAUUACAUAGAGAUAUUAACGUGCCGUGCAAUUAUCUUACAUCUAGAAGACUCCAGAAGCCACGGGAACGAAGCGGAGGCCGAACGGGGCCUGGCCCUGGGCGCUCGCCCAGGAGACCAGGGCGCCCGCCCCCUUGUAGAGUCCAAUCAGAACUCUCUUUCGUGAUCAAGCUCCACCGACCUAAAGGAUCAAGGAUAACCAUUCAAUCAAUGUCGGUUUGAUCCAGUGGCCCAUAUUCACUUGAAGGGACUAUAAAACCAGACCCCUUGGCCCCUGGAGGAGAGAGCCUCUCAACCCUAAUUCAUUAUUCCUCAAGGGAGAAGAAGCCUCUGAUCAAGCCUAGAGCCACCACAUCAAUUAGACAUCUAGAUUAGCAUAGCUACAUAGGAUUAGAACUAGAAGGAGUCAAUCUUCGAUUGGUUUCCGGAUCUGUCAAGAGGAUUCUUGGUAAUUCUCUAAUUGUUCUUCUAAUUGUUCAUCUUUGUUCUUCAAUAUUAUGAAUACGACUUUGUUCUACUUCAAUAUAUUGCUUAUGACUUUCCUCUACUUGUUUAUAUUCAAGAUUAUAUUGUUCUUAGUCUAUCAUAGUUAUAUACUUAGCUUAGUUAGAUUGGAUCUAUAUACAUGUUUAGGAUCGUAUAGCGUUUAUCCAUUGGAUCCAUGGGUAAAUGAUAGAUAUUGUGUAGGCGUGGUGCUUAUACCGUAUUUAUCUGCGAUUGUACCCAAUAUGCUAGAUCGUGGGGUAGUUCGUGAUAGUGAUAGCUUCAUUGAUUCUUAUAUAGUCCCCCUCUCGUGUAUCAGGCUGGCAGAGCAAUAUUAUUACAGGGGAGUGAUUACGAUGUUUCUCAUAUUCCUUGCUAAUAUCACUAUGCAUUGGCGUACUCCUUUCUCGCAAUGAUUGCUAAGUAUGCUUGCACUAACUAUGAUAAUGCUAGACUGUAUAGUUAAGAAUAACUUAGAAAAUAUUCUUGUAGUUCGUUCUAAUACCAUGCUAAUGACUUGCUAGAAUAUCUAAUUGAGGUGCUUAUCAUAUUUAUUAUGUGGCUAAACUAUGCUGAUCAGAUUGUCACUAUUCAUUACUUUAUAUAUCCUUUAUGUGACACUUAUCCCUGUAUGAAAGAGUUAGAUAAAUGUUCUCAACUAUACAUGCAAUGAUAGAUACUCAAUCUCAUAUUUCAUUCUAUAAUCAACAUUGAUGAUUACUAAUCCCUUCCCAGUGGUAAAAAUAUAAAUAACGAUACCUGGAAUACUUCUCGGUUAAAAUGCUACAUCAGUAUUAAUCCGUCCGCUUGCAGAUCCCAUUCAUUAUUUAUUUAGAUGAGCAAUUGCAUAUUUCAAUACCAUGUCUUUCAUGUCAUGCUGGGGAUGACAACUUGGCUUAAGUGGUAUGGGAGAUAGGUUUGGCAUUUUUGGCACCGUUAUCAAAAUUAGAAAACUGUCUACUUUUGGUAGUGAUGUUAAGAAUACCCAACACAUUGCUAGCGUAAACGUGGUGUUUGGGCUAGGGUACUCAUAGUUAUCCCCUGACUAGCUUGACCGUGGUAGUAGCGAGGAACGUGACAUUUCCGAGUUACCUUUGCAGCCCACAUCUCGUUAGCAGGUCGGGUAGGGUUUAUAGGUGCGGGUCGAACAUCCUUUGUGGUGUCUAGAUUCCGUGAGCCUCCCCAAUAGAAUAGUAGAUCAUCAUUACCAAGGUUAGAACGAGACUACGGUUGUAGUCUUCUCUAUACAUCGCUCACAUCGAAUCACAUUCUUUGUAGCUUAAAGGGUAGUAGCAAUAGAUUUGGUUAGUCAGAUGCACGCUUUCUCCCAGUGGUAAAAAUAUAAAUACGAUACUCUGGAUAACCUCCAGGGUGAAGUGCUCACCGAUAUCCAUGCGCUUGCGGAUCAUUUUCUGAUGGCGUUACCAAAUAUCAACAAGCAUUUGUGGCGCCGUUGCCGGGGAGAAAGACGGUUUGCUGAGGUAACUUUAAGUCUUGCUAUUAUCUUGUAUUAUACUUUUAUACUUUUAUUCUUUUAUCUUUUUAUUUUUUCCAUCUUUAUGGAUAACUCAAAUUCCAUACCUAUUAUUGAAUUUUUUGCACCUUCGGAGACCAGCCAUAGACCAUGGGAUUCAACAAGUCAUUUCUUUGCCCCUAAUUAUGAUCUGUGUCUGGAGUUGAUUGCAAUAGGUCAAAACCAACCCUUUCCUAUAGCUGAGGUCCUAUCUUUUAAUCAUGAAGAUAAUGAACUUUUAGCUACACUUAUGGAAUCUUUUAAUUUUUCUAUAAAUUCUGGUUUAAACCUAGCCCUACAAGACCAUAUUGUUUCUCGAUAUUUUCACAUUGGUCUUAAUCAUAUAACCUUUGGUAGAGUCUUUCUUUCUUUAUCUAUUAGUAAAGGAAGGUAUGUCUUCAUUCGUGGACAUCCUUCUUGCACUAGUCUCAAUAAAAAAAUCCUAGAGAUAGAGAAGGAAUCAUCUCCCAGACGAGGAAAGGAAGUUUCAAUAGCCAAUUUCCAAACAUUUCAAUCCCAUAAUUCGGCUAUCCAACCCAUCCUUGAGCUUAAUAAUUUCUACUAUGCUCUUGAACCUCCCGAUGAUCCUAUGAAUCUCUCUAGACAUCCCAUGCAUAAGAGUCACCAAGACCAUAAGGAGGAUUGAGAAGAGCAACAUCAAUGGCUAGAGGGCAUUAAAAAUCCAUGUGCUAUCACCAUUGAAUGGUUGGAUAAAAUGAACUUGAGAGACAGUCCUAGAGGAAUUUUAAGCAUUCAUGAAGAAUCAUCCUUGGAGUUUGAGAAUGAAAGAAACAAUAUUGAGCAUAGAAUUUAUUUCAUAGCCACUUCGUUUACUCCAUGCUCAAAUGCAACACCUUCCCAAUCUAUUGGUCUCUCCAACAUAACCACAUUUGAGAUCUCCAACCCCCCUUCCUUUCUAUUUAUAAAAACUUUAAAAGGACGGUUGUCGAUGCAUAUGUAUAUAAUAAAUAUUGCAGAUCUCGUUGAGUUGAUCUUGAUAUAAGUCAGCGUUGGAGGGGAAACCACUUCGCUGACAUAAAUUGAUGGUUUCACAAGGACAAGCUUGGUGUCCUAAAACAAGCACUGAUCAGAUCGUAACGUGAGCUGUUAAUUAUUUGCAACAUUGCCUUGUGUAUUGAGCAUAUAAAGAUAAUUGUAGAAAUAUUCCAUCGGGUAUUCGUGUCACUAACCUUUCUAGGAUUGGAGCAAGAAGAUCCGAGGAAUGACAAGCGCAGGGUAUGCCCAACCAAUCAUCAUGCAAUAUUGAAUUAAAUUCAUCCAACCUUGAAUUUUGCAAAAUUCAAGCUUGGGGGAAAUACCUUACAUGAAAACAUCCUUUGCCAAGUUGCUAUGUUGGUUGUCCCUACCUUCGAGACAUGCUUGAUUUGUGAAAUACUAGUCACACUACUUCAUCUCCACUUGAGUAUAUCUCUAUAAGAGCCAUCAUGCUACCUAUGUUUAUCCUAGUAAGUGUUGGUUUGGAAGUACUGGACAUACUUCAAUUAGUGUUUAAAUUAAGCGUGGUGCUUAGGUUAAAUAACCUUCCUUAAUUUGAUUAGACAUGGAGUCUAGUUUGGUUACUGAACUAAAAACUGCUUGAGUAGGCAUUGGUAUAUUUUGUCGGACUAACCCCUGCAGGAAAACUUUCAACAUCAACCUGGGAAGUCCUGAGAUACAAACUCACAUUGGAGACAAAGAGAGAGACACAUGAAGGUUAACAAUUUGCACAAGAAGGACAUAGCUCAUUCAUCAUAGAGAGAUGAUCCAUGGAAGGAGACAAAGUACAUAAACAAGAUGCACAACCGCUAAGAAAGGAAAGCUUCCACAAGGUGAUACUGUACCAUCACUCUUCAAUUAAGGUAACAUCUUAAGGUACUUGACUAUCGCUUUUAUAAGUUUCUCCUUGGUUCUGGCAUUCACAUAAAAUAAAGAAACAACAAUUUAUAACUCCAAAUUAACCAACCCAACUGAUUCAACAUGUUUAGUCCUUUAAUCUUUGUUUAUAGUACUACCUUCAUGAUCUCACACCCCUAAUCAUAUAAACUAAAAUGUUGCACAUUCAAUCUUUAGAAGAUAUAAACAAAACAUAAAUAUAGAUAGAUUUAUUUUUCCAUUAGGUCAAGCAUUCUGAUCUGACAAAUGUUUUAAAUACUACAGUCAUGAUCUUAUUAUCCAUCAACUUUAUCUUGCUCACUAUGUUUAAGGUUAGAGAAGAACAAAUACACUUUUGGUUCUGUUGGUGUUUUCCACCAACAGGGCCCAUACACUUGAUCUCUGCCUUAUCUUUAUGAGCAGGUACACUUCGAGCAAAAACCUAAAGGAGUUUUACAACUCCCAGACUCCACCAAGUGAAGGACUUUGAUCUACAAGCACAAACACACUGAGUAGGAUGCUGCCAAUGCCACAUCUCGAACUGCUGGACAAACGAAGAACAUGGAUGAAACCGUAUCAAGAAGUGCGUAUGUCAAGGCCCACACCUAAUCAAAUGAUGCACCUAAAGGAUGAACACGGACGACCCUGGUGUUCCAAGCAUCGAGUGCACAAUCAAUGGAUACUCUUUUCAGAAGACACUCUACAACACCGGAUCUAACGUCAACAUAAUAGCCGCAGUCACUUAUUAGCUCCUGCAUGGAACCAUGCCCCUACAACCAACAUACACCCAGCUCCAGAUGGCAGAUCAGACAUUCCGAAAGGUUGAAGGUUAUUGACAUGGGAGAAGACGAGUAUGAUCCACCCAUCAUCCUUGAGAGACCGUUCCUCAGCACCGUUAAAGCAAUCAUCUACAUUGGAACCAGAGAAGUCCACAUGCACUUCCCCUCUGAGAAGGUACGCCGCUAUUUUACUGACCCUAACUAUAUAGUUGAAGACUCUAAGAAGGUUAGGACAAGAAGAAGACAACGCAACCGCAACCAGAGGAGGCAAAUCAUCAAGGACGGAUGGGCAAACUACGAAGGAGAAGUGGUAAGGUCUGAAGACAUACAGCUUUAAUAGAACUGUCCUGAGGAGACAGUAGCACCGAGUCAGGUGUGGAGAGAGAAGAUAGUUAUACACGAAGAAGAGGCGCCGCUAGAACCACCGACUACACCAUCUAGCAAAUCCCAGGACGACUGAGAAAACAGAGAGUCCCGUUCGGAGGACUUAAAAACACCGAACGCCUUGCCAAGAGGUAAACUUGGUAGUUGUCCUAUUCCCUUCAAUUAUUUAAAAUAGUUUGCUUAGUUAAUCAGGUUCAUGCUAUCUUGAAACGAAAAUAAAAAUGUUAAAAACAGUAAGCCCCAUGUGAGUAUGCUCAUGGCAUAAAACCCAUAAGUAUAUUCACUGUGGUGGCAUAAAAAUAAAAUAAAUAUAUUCUUGUCCUAUAAAAAUGAGAAUAUAAAAAUAAAUUUAUGAUCCUACCAAAGAGAGUAAUAUUUAUUAGAGAAAGCUCAACAUGAUAAAGGCAAAGAGAUUUUAUGCUAACACAUAACCAGUUCCACAAAGCAUUGUUGUCUAUUUGAGCUCCACAGAAUUCAAGGAUCAAAGAAGACUAGCAGACGAAGGACAUCCUAAUCGCCGUCAGGGUACUGCCGACAUUUCAAUACACCUCCGUCACCUGCUAGCUACAUCAAAAGAAAUUACGUCAAAAUCCGGCUUGGGGGAGAGCACCCCCAUUUAUCUAGCUAAGUGUUUCUACUCACGUUUAUACUUUACUCAAAUAAAAAAAGAUACAUAAUCAUGAAAACCCAAAUAAAAAUUUUGUGCUUAUAUAUAUCUUUGCUUAGUUUGCUAAAUAAAUAAAUAAAGUGUCUAGGCUAAACUGAACUUCAAUGAUAAACUCUUACAUGGAUAUGAUAAAUAGUUGGUCUGCCAUGUACCUAGUUUUUAAGUUUGAGCUCUCUCUCAUGUUUAGGCAUAACUGUUAUAAUUUAAACCUUCUCUAAACCUGAACUUGUGGGAAGAGUACUUGAUCUGAACUCUAAGUCGUUAACGGAUAUGAUAUGGGAAGGCUGAGCUGUUGUUUAUCUGUUCCUAGAGAUGCUAGAAUUCUAAAGAAUUUUAUCUUUGAAAAUCUUUAAAAUAACACAUGAUGAGUUCCUGUAUGAUGAGAGUUUAAAUUCCUACCACAGCCAUAUAUACAUGCUUGCUAGACUUUGAGCCACACAUUUACUUUUUACUGCUUAUGAGCAUUGAGUGUGGUCAAGCUGUGUAGACCUUUAGGAGCUGGUCAUGUGGUUAAAAUCAAGAUUCACUUGCACAUUCGCUCAUACAUGCUACUUCUACUCCGGAAGUACGCAUCCACAUAUAUCCACUCAUUUCCAUCGCUAGAUUCACCCAAAAUUAUUCUACUCCUAAUCCGAGAGAGAAUAGCCAAAAACAUUUCCCUAUUCCUAUUUUUCCCUAUGAAAUAAAUGCUCGAGUUAUCUUGGUUACUACCACUUGCUAUAUUAUUUCAGAUGAGUGCUGUAAAAAAAGAGAGAAAAAAUACGAGGAAAUAAAAAGGGGCAAGGGCCCGGAACAUUGAAAGAAAAGAAAAAGUGAGACGAGAGGUAAAAAUGGACAAGUGUCCGACAGUAGAAUUAGGGGUACAAGAUACUCACCUGAGAGAAAAGAAAAAGAAAAUAUAGAGCAUCUCAUUCUCCUCAUAAAGUUUCAAAGUGCAAGAAAGGUAUGUAUCCCCUAAAAAGAGCAAAAGUAGAAUUAGACUUUCACCAUUGUUAUCACCAUCAUCACCAUACACCAUUCACUCGCCACACAUGCACAUCUUGAUUUGACUUAUUGACUUGUUCUUCUAGAUCCAUGGUUUGACUAUGCAUUAAAUGUCUUGUAAGUAUGUAUUUGCUGUCUCCCACUUAUGAGCUCCAGAUAUCAAAACCUUUUCAGAGUAGGGUGAGAGAGAAGGCAAUAUCACUAUGCCUCAUACCAAAAACACCACAUACUUUGAGAGAAGGCAUAUACCAUUACUGCCUUGGAAAGGAUCCAAAAAUACCACAAAAGAGAGAUUUGAGAGAAUCAUACAAGGAAUCUCUGAGUUUUAUUUGUAAAUCUACAAAAACUCCAGAGCUAUAGCUGAUCAAGAAUAUGAGACAUGGCGCCUGACUUGACUGUUCUAUCUUUUAGCUGCUCAAGACACAAGUGACGGUUGCAAGCCCCAUGGUGAAAAGUAAAAUGAGUAAGUUUUAAGUCUUAACAGUUUACUCUAACUCAGAGAUGAGAUCUUGCUUGAACGCAUGUGUACUUUUAAGGCACGAAACCACUGCAGAAACUUUUGAGUCUAUCCUUGCUCAGGGACGAGCAAGAGGUAAGCUUGGGGGAGUUUGGUGACGGUCCUUAAGUACCAAAUAUAAUCAUCAAAUAAAUAAAGAAAAGGAUCCAAAUGCAUCCAACACCUAGACUUAGGGUUUCAUCUGACAGAAUUCCACGAGUUUUGGUGUGUGUCUAUUUCUGUAGGGGGUUAUCAGGAAAUAUGGAAGAAAGGCCCACACGUCGGGUUUACAUAGAGAUAUUAACGUGCCGUGCAAUUUUCUAUCAUCUAGAAGACUCUAGAAGCCACGGGAACGAACGGGAAGGCGAUCGGGCCC